GAAUUAAUUAACUUUGACGGGUUCCAUGAAAGAAGAAGCAGAAAUAUAAACAAUAGAGAAGAAGAGAUGAUAUCGAAAUCACUUAUUCUUAGACAUGGUCGAAGAUACACAUGCGGUAAUUUAUUAGGAAGCAAGAUCGUAUAGCCGAUGGGCUAAUGACUCAUGCAUUUAUUAUAGAUGGAUAUAUAGAGAGUGUUCAACGGGGGCAGAUGCAGGGGCCCAUUCCGCACUUGGACGUCACAGUGCAUAAAUUCCGAUUCAUAGGAAACGGCAGUUUCAUCAUCUUCUCCCACACUGCGCUGCACCGGCAAUUAUCCGAGCUCAGCUGCCUCAGCUCCUCGCAGCACUCCUCCAGGUAUUUCUCCUCGGCGGCCACGCGGCUCCUCAGGAACGCGCCGCCGUAGGGCUCGCUCAUCGCCCACUUAAUGCAGCUCUUCAUCGCCACCUCCGACUCGCACUGCUCGGCCUUGAAGGCGGAGGCGCUGGCCACGGUCACCGCGGCGAAGAAGAGGAGAGUGAGAGCUGUCAGCUUGGCCAUUUGGUAAGUGGUGAUAUCUAACAAGAUGCUUGUUGUGUGGAUGAUAGGAGUGAGGAAGUAGGAAUGGAUAGCGCCGUAUUUAUAGAGGAUUUAAGCGAUUUGAGUGGCUGCCCUUUUAUGCAUGUGUUAAUUAAUGUGAUCACAUUUUAUAAAUGGGCUGCCAUUUUAUGCAUGUGUUAAUUAUGUGAUCACAUUUUAUAAAUGGGCUGCCAGUUUAUGCAUGUGUUAAUUAUGUGAUCACAUUUUAUAAAUGGGUGUGCAUUGACGUUGGUCGGUUUAAUUUCUCUACGUUUUAUUUAUAAUACAUUAUUCUAUUCAUAUAAUUCCUUCCAUGUGAUGAAUUGGUAAAACGAAGAAAGACAAAACCCCAUCCAUGUUGAUGAAAGAUAUAUAUGACCUAGAUUAGUAUAUAUUGGAAAUAUUCUGAUCAAUUUUAAUUAAUUAGUAAAUAAUUAAAUUAUUAAAUUAAUUAAUGGGAGAUAGAAGAAAAAUCCAACCUAUUUAUCUAAGAUAAUAGGCGGCUAUUACUCCUAUAAAAAUAGGAAUAGAUUUCUUUUGUCAGACAUUUGAAAUCACACAUAAACACAAGAGAGAAAAUUUCUACCUGCAGACAUUUAAAGAAUUCAAUCGGAGAUUUUCUACCUUUCGAAGAUUGAAUUGUGCACUGAAGAGCUGGUAUUGUUUUUGCAUAUGAUCUGCAAUAUAUGUAGAUAUCAUAGUUGUAGAUUCAACUGCAGUAAUUUCUACAAGAUUAUUUGCUACGUAGUAGGUAAUUUAUUUUAACUACUUUAAUUAUUUAUGUGUUUAUAAUCUCUACAUACUAAUUGUUUAUAUCACUAGAUCAUAUUCUUCACUAUUAUUUAUGCUACCUAUUAUUAGAUGAUGUCAAAUAUUUUCAACAGUGAUAUUAGAGCUCGGGGCUCGAUAUAUAAUUGUCUUCGUGUUCUUAUUACAUUGAGCUAGAAAGAUGUGAUGAAGAAAGACAGAACUCCAUUCAUGUUGAAUCAAACUAGGUCGAUUUGGAAAUUAGGACAAUAACUUUUGGAUUUGUAAAAAUAGGACACUAAUUAAUAAGUUGUUGCACCCGCAGGACAUUUAUGGGCCAAUUAUUGAAUUUUGGGACUUUUUUGCACGGACCAAGCAUAUAACGAUCCGCACAGAGGGGUUGAUUAUGUGGCAAUCACGUCAUUUUUAUGGCUCCAGAUAGGAUGUCAUGUGCUUGGUCCAUGCAGGAAAGUCCGAAAAUUUGAUAAUUGGCCUAGAAAUGUCCUGCGGGUGCAACACUUAUUAAUUAGUGUCCUAUUUUUACAAGCCCAAAAAUUAUUGUCAUAAUUUCCAAAUCAACCUAAGUUACUGUCCUAAAAAAUUCUCUGACUCUUACAUUGAUCUAGAAAGAUAAAACCCGCAUUAUUACGCAUGGCAUGAGCUAGCUCUAGCUUAUUUAUAGGCGAGAGUUUAAGGUAGUUUGCUCGUAUUAGGUUAUACGGUUUACAAUGAAAUAUAUUAUAGACUAUAGAUUAGAAUAUAUUUGAUAUAUUUUAAUAACCUUUAAUUAAUUAGUAAAUAGUUAGAUUAUUGAAUUAAUUAAUUGAACAGAAAAGAAAAAUUCCGUCUAUUAAUCUAGGAUUACAAAUGUGUAUUAUAGGAAUAUAUUUCUUUGUCCGAUAUAUGUAAUAUUAUAAAAACACUAGAGAUAAAAUACUUGGAGCAGCACUAUUGAAUUCAAUUGGAGAUUUGAAUAUUCCUACAUCGAAUCUGCAUUAUACGUGGAUAGCUUAGUAGUUGAUUCAAUUGCAGAAUUGCUAUAGGAUUGUUUGCUACACAACAAGUAAGUUAUUAUAUAGCUAGCUAUUGUGUUUAUAAUCUCUAUACACGAAUCACUUGUAAAUCUAGAUCUUAUCCUAGAUUAUAUUUUUCAUUGCGUAUCAAUAGAUGAUGUCAAGAAUUUCUAACAAUGGUAGGAGAGCCCGGGGCUUGAUUUAUAUAAUUGUUUUUUGUUUUAAUUAAUUAUGGGUAAAUUAAAUUUGAUUUAGAGAUCUGAUUUUGGAAAUUAACGAUUUUGAAUUGGAAUAAAAAUUUAUGAAAUUUGCUGGGCAAUUUAAUAUUGACCAGCUUGCUCCGAUUCUUCACCGGAUUUUGAUUCAUCGCCAGACAACCGUAUCGCCGUGCAAGUGAGGAGGGUGAAAAAAAACGAGGAGGCGAUAGUGGCUCGGGCUAGCCGGUGUGCUAGUGAUAAAGGAUCCGUUGAGUGAGCCCCUUGAAUUCUUCUUUCGCAUGGUCGAAAGAGUUUGAGAGUGAAAGAGAGUUUCUUGAUAUCUGAUGUAACCUUGGAGGUGUUAUAAGAGCAUCAAAUGGGGCUCGAAAAAAGGCUCGAGCCCCCCUGCUCCGCGCCCUCCACCGUUGCCGCACCGAGGGUGCAUGAGCCCGCCUCCCCUCUUCGCAUCGGACUCAAACUGGGAAAAGGUUGGGCGCGUCUCCAGCACCGCCCAAUCAAAAAUUCGCCGCAAUUAAAAAAUAAAAAUAAUAAAAAUCUGUUUUUAAUGUUGGAACUAGUAUAAACAAAUACAACAUAUGUUUCAAAAAUAUAAUAUAAUAAUUCAGAUCAAUUACUCAAUAAAAUCAUGAAUUUAAAAAUAUAAAUUUUCAAUUUAUACAAAGUGCAAUGAUAAUUAUAAUUAUUAAAUAAAUUUAAAAAUUAUUUGAUAAUGAAAAUUUGCAUUAUGCAUAAUAUUAUAUAUUAUUACACAUCAUAAUAAAUAUUUUCAUACACAAACAUCAAUAAAAAGUUGUAAUUUUUAAAUGAAGAGAUAGAAAAUAAAAUAUUUUAUACUUUUCAUAACUUAUUCGUUUUAAAUUCGUUUUUGAUGAUUUUUAUACUAUAUUGAAUUUAAGAUCCAUAUGAUUAUUUUUUCAUGAAUUAAAUUUGAUGAUGUUUUAGAAAAUAAAUAAAAUAUAAUAACAUAAAAAGAAAAAAAAGUGAAAAAUUGGUGGAAGAAGAGAUUAGAAAAGAGAGGGAACACAUGGAAGGGAAAAACUCCUCUUUUAUUACUCCGUACUAUAUAGAUUGUCAAUUCUAAUCUAAUAUUAAAUUUAAUUAAGACAUAAUAAUAACAAAUAUGUUAAUAUAAAGAAAUAUAAAAAUUACAAAAUUUUAAUAAAUCUAAAUCAUAUUUGAAAAUCUUUUUUUAAGAUUUAAUUAAUUAAUUAUCUAUAAAUUUAUAUUAAUAUAAAUUACAACUUUUAAAAUUUAUUUUUAAGCUAAAGAGUUCUACAAUGAACAAAUAUAAGUCUAAUCUUUUUAGUUACAUUAAAUUGUUAUAGCAAAAAAAAUAGAAAUAGAAAAUAUUAAAAAAUGAUGUCUAACAAAAAUAUAAAAAAUAAAAUAAAAUAAAUAUUAGAAAAAGAACGAAAUAGGAAAAAAAGAAAAUAAAAAAAAAAUGAACGUGAUAUUCAAAGAAAGGAGGUAGGAGAGAGGAGAGUAUAGAUGAGAGAUGAGAGAGAAAAAAAUAAUUUUGUGACUUUAAAUGAUAAUAAUUUAUUUAUUUUAAAUUUAUUUUUAUAAUUUUUAUAUCAAAUUAAAGAUCUUAUCAUCAUCUUUAAUUUAACAUCCAUAUCAAAUAUUUUUUUAUAAAUAAAAGUUCAUGGUUUCUAAAAAAGAAUCAAAACAAAAAAUGAAAAGUGAAAAGAGAAAUUUUUGUAGAAAAAAUUCACGCAUGUUUUUUAUAUAUAUAUAGAUUAACUAAUAGAUGUCUAAUGAGUAAAUUGUGGGAUUGAUCGUGGGAGAGAGAAUAUAAUUUUUUAUGUGAGAGAGAAAAGACGACGGUAAAAUUUUACCGUUAAACUGUUCUUUUAUAUUAUAUAUAGAUUGUACCGUUGGAGGAGGCAGCCGUUGCUCAACAGAUGUUUUCAAUUUUUUUUAAUUAUUUCAAUUUUCCUUUAUAUAUAUAUCCCUCGUUCACUUCUUCAUUCAUAUCUCUCAUUCACUUCUCUCUAAUCCUUUUCUAAAAAAAAUGUCAUCAUCCAACAAUUCUUCAAAUCAUUCUUCCAUCAAUUCUUCAUAUGACGAAGAAGUUUCAAACACACGACUUCCUCCUAUUCCCAAUCCUAUGCAAAAUCCUGAAGGAUUUUUUAUGAGUCUUGCUGCAAAUUUCAUGCAAGUGGCGAGUUCAUAUCGAUUCGAUCCUCCUCCUCUACCGAAGAAGAAGCGUAAAGUUAUUCUCCGUGAUCGUGAAGGUGGUGGCGAGCGCCUGCAUCGAGAUUAUUUUGCUCCCGAUGCAAUUUAUCGGCCACAAUUAUCUAAAUUAAUGUUAAGUAAUUUUUCAUUACUUUUCAUUUUUUUAAUUUAAUGUAAUGUUUGAUUUUUAAUUUAAUGAAUUUUAAGUUAUUAAAUUUAAUGUUAAUUUUAAUUAAAAAUAACAAUAAAAUUAUAUAGAAAAUGAAAAUAGAAAUUAGAGAGUCAAGAGGUGGGUUGUCCCAUUGUGGAGAGUGGGCUCUUAAAUGGUAGAGACCAUAUUUAAGAGCCCACCUUAGCUCUCCAUUGUGGAUGCUCUAAGGUGCAGAUUGGAAAUGUAGAAACUUGGCUGAAGUGGGGCUAUCAAUUGGAGAUCAUGGUUGAUGGAAAUGAGUUUAAUUUAAUAGUUAUGAUGUGUUCUUGGCCAAUUAAAAUCCUUAUGGAAUACCUUUGAAAAAAAAAUUCCAUAUGAAAUAAGAAUUUGAUCUGUAAAAUUUCUUCAGAGUUUUACUAAAUAAAUAUCUAGUAGUCUAUAUAUGUUCGAAUGCUCAACUUGAAUAUAUAUGUAAUUCAUAAAAGUUUAGAUAAGUUAAAAUUUAUAAAAGAUUUGUAAAUCAUUUUAGUUGGAAUUAAAAAUAAAUUCGUUUUUAUUUCUUCGGCGUAAAUCAUCUUAAUCUAACUUCAAAAUUUCUCUAAACUUAGUAAAAAAGGAACAUGGUAUUACACUUUUUUAUAAAUAUUUUUGUAUUAAUUUUAAUAUAACUUUGUAGAUGAAUAAGUAGUAUAUAUAUAUAUAUAUAUAUGUGUGUCAAUAUAUUAAAGUAGCCUAUUUUAUAUAGCAAAAUUAAAAUUUAGCCUAGAGGAUAAAAACAUAAAAUUUUAGCCACUUUUUGCGCGAAAAGACUAAAAUACCCCUCCAUAAAUAUGGGCAAAUUCUGUCUGUGUAGCAUCGCUCCUUCUCUUCCUUCUCUCUCUCGCUCUCUCUCCCCUCUUCUCUCUCUGUGUGCUCAUCGUAUAAGCAGCGUCGUUCAUCCGCAGUCGGCGGCGGAGCAUCAUUCUUCUCCGGCGUCGGUGCUGGCGCUGGAGGCAGUUCCUGCCGAGGUUCAGAGGUGAGGGGGAGCAACGGCGGUGGCGGUCUGUGACUGUCGGCGCUGGGAAUCGAAAUUAGAGGCGGCAAUUUUCGGAUCUAGGGCUGAGUGUUGAAAGAGAGAUGGGAGGGAGAUUUGGGGGAGUUGCGAUGGCAGCAGCUCUGCCACUGCUCGGAGUCAUGGUUCUGAUGAAGAAGAACGUGCUCGGAGUGAACAACAUCGCGGCGUUGGUCACCGAUCGAAUCGACGAACUUUUGGGGAGGAAGAUCGCGCUACAGCUCAUCGGCAUCUUCACCCCCUUCCGAUGCAUGUACUCCGACAGAAACUCCAAUCCAGCAAAAUAAUUGACCUCCGCGUAGCCGCUGCCCCCGCCGAAGAGGAGACCGCUAAAGGCAGCGAAGAAGAGGCGAAAUUGGAUGUUUGGAUGAAGGAAAGGAAAGUGUUAUGCACAUUUCACUAAAUAAUUGUAAUCAUUAUCUUUAUUUCCUUUGAAAUUUUCGAUGUGAAAUUUGAUUGUAUUUUUUUGGAAACAUUUCUCCCUAUUGUUUCCAUUUCUUUUGGAUGUUAGUAUUUUUUCAACAAUGCUCAUUUAAUUCUCUCCCGUUAUAACCAUGUUUGUGAUGAAGGAUUUUCUGCACAAGCAAUAUUUUGAAUAUAGCAUUUGGUAAUAAUAGUGUUGUUCGUUUAAUUCAUGCCCAUUAAUUGUUAUUAUUCAUGAAUUUAUUAAUUGUGAAAGGUAAUAUUUACCAGUUUAUGAAUUUGUUAAUUCAUGUGAAUUAAUUGCUCGAUCUCCUUUUUCUUCUCGAGUAUAUCGGAUCUGAGGCUUUGUUUUUGAACGAUGAUUUGUGAGUUUUAUUGGAGACAUUUGAUCGAUUGAAAGAGAAAGAGAUUUUGAAUGAUUGAUUAAAGCUCUUGAAUUCACAAUCACAUUUAUGAAUUCACAACUUAAUGUUCUUGAAUUCACAACCAGAUCUAUGAAUUCACAAUUUAAUGUUUUUGAAUUCACGUUCAUAUCUAUAAAUUCACAACUAGAUCUAAUACACAAUCACGACUAGAUCUAUAAAUUCACAACUCAAUGUUUUUUGAAUUCACGACCACAUUUAUGAAUUCACAACUUAAUAUUUUUGAAUUCACAACCAGAUCUAUGAAUUCACAUUCAAAUACAUUACAAUUUUAAUUGUGAAUUCAAACUUUAAAAACUCAAAUUCACAACUACUUGAAUUCACAACCAAAAUAAAUUCUAGUUGUGAAUUAAAUUCAGAUUGUGAAUUCGACUGAUUGUGAAUUCACAACCAACAUAAAUCUGGUUGUGAAUUAAAUUUUGGUUGUGAAUUCGUUUGGUUGUGAAUUCACAACCAAAAAAUUCUAGUUGUGAAUUAAAUUUUGAUUGUGAAUUCGUCUAGUUGUGAAUUAAAUUUUGGCUGUGAAUUCGACUAGUUGUGAAUUAAAUUUUGGCUGUGAAUUCGACUAGUUGUGAAUUCACAAACAAAAAAUUCUGGUUGUGAAUUCGACUGAUUGUGAAUUCUCAAUUCACAACCAGUGUGAAUUCACAACCUAAAAUUUUUUGGUUGUGAAUUCACACUGGUUGUGAAUUGCGGGUAUUUUUUAAAGGGGGAUGUAAAGUGGACUAUUUUUUUUAAUUUUAAUGUGAAGGGUAUUUUGAUAACAAUGGACAUUUUUUAAGUUUUUUAUUUUAGUGGACAUUUUUUAUCUUUAUAAUAUGAAAGUGGACCAUUUUAAAAAUGCACUCUUUCUAUUAUANNNNNNNNNNNNNNNNNNNNNNNNNNNNNNNNNNNNNNNNNNNNNNNNNNNNNNNNNNNNNNNNNNNNNNNNNNNNNNNNNNNNNNNNNNNNNNNNNNNNNNNNNNNNNNNNNNNNNNNNNNNUAUAUAUAUAUAUAUAUAUAUAUAUAUAUAUAUAAAAGUAUAAUUUCAAAUAUUAUUUUUUAUUUAUAUUUGUGUAUUAGUAUUUAUUUAUUUAUUUAUUAUGAUGCGUAAUACUUUAUAAUUAUAAUAAUAAUAAUUUUCAUUAUCAAAUAUAAUUUUCAAUUAUUUAAUAACUAGAGUUAUCCUUACACUUUAUACAAAGUUGAAAAUUUACGUUUUCAAAUUCAGGGCUUUAUCGAGUAAUUGGUGCAAAUUAUUUUAUCAUAUUUUUAAAAUAUAUUUUACAUUUGUAUAUAUUUUGACUAUUUAAUAUUUAUAUUUAUUUAUUUAAAUAUUAUCGUUUAAUUUCGAUACUCGUUGUACAUCGCACGGGAGAACGUAUUAAUAACGGUUAUUAAUAUAAGUCUUUUAAUAUUUUUAAAAUCGAUCGCUAAUUCAGUUGUUAAAAAUAAAUUUUUUAAUUUUAUUUUUUUAUAUUUUAUUCUUAUUUUAAAAUCGGUAAGAAUUUCUUAAACAUUUUUUAAAAUAUAAUUCACAAAUAUAUUAAUAUAUUUUUAUUAUUUUAAAAUUGAUUGUUAAUUAUGUCGUAUCUCUUUCGCCGACACCACAAGUCUUAGAUAUCUUUCUCAACAUAUUGAUGGGGAGUUUAAAUGAAUUAAUAUGUGCUAAUUAUAUCAAUAAUACACAUAUUCUAUCGAAAAAAAACUUCUAACUUAAUUGUUCUUGACUUAUAGUACUUUCAGGAGGGGUGACCCACAAUUAUAUUUAAUAAUUCAAAUUCAGUUAUAUAUAUGCUAGCAUUUGGACCCAUGCAAUGCACAAGAAUAAUUUUAUAUUUCGUUAUUCAACAUUUCUUUAAAUAACUAUAUAUUAACAAAACGAAUUUAAAAUACAAAAGAUAUAGACAUAAUUUACAGUCUCAAUUUAUUAGGUAUUUCUUCAAUUUUUUAUAUUAAUUAUGAUUUUAAAUUAUCUUUAAUUUACAAAAUCGUCAUUUAAAUCAAUUUAAAAUUAAUAGUUACAUUUUUAAUAUAGUAUAGAUGAGAUACAACUAUACAAGUGACAAGUCUAGUGAUGGAAGGGCAUUUUCGUAAUACAACUAAAGAAGUUUUUUUUUUUUUUUUAAAGGUUACUNCCAUAGGUUCCUAAAAUAGCUAAAAGAAUUCAAAAUACCAAGUUUUUGGUGAAUUGACCAAUUUAACCAUAAUCUAUAUUUAUACUAAUAUAAAAAUUGUAUUAGGUAUGAUAUUAAUUUAUUUUUAUAGUCUUAUUAGACCAUCUUCGUCGGUUCUAUUAGUGUUUUGUUCUUAGGUGGAGCUUGUGUUCGGCAUUAAGUUUAGGGUGCAUGAGUUUAGAAAUCUGUUUUCUAUGAGGCACUAUUGUUGCUCACUGAGGUGUAGUCUUUUUUUUUUCUUUGCUUAACGCUCUUAGUGUUGUUCUUUGUGAUUGUUUUGUCUCUGUGGCUUAGUGACUUUGUGGCUUUCUUUUAUGAUGAUCUUUGUAUCGCUUGUUAUCUUCGUGAUCCUGUGUGCUUUGUGAUUUGUGCUAGCUCUAUUUGUGGUUAUUUUUCGUGGUCUUUUGUGUUCGACUAUCCUUAUGUUAGUUUGCUUCGUGCUUGGUGUUGUUUUUCUCUUGGGUGUGUUUUGCAAGAGUUAACAUGGUUAGUUUACCAUUUGAUCUUUGUGGUCUUAUGUUUCCCUAUUUUAUCUUUGUGAUCUUACAAGGGGCAUCGACGAUGAUGAUUAUUUGUUGAGUUUCCUCUUUGAUGCACACAACACCACGAUUGGGCCAAAUGUGAAGAUGUUGUUUGUUGGCCCAAUAGCUCAAUACGGCCCAACCCCUUACCUUGUUAUUUUGGAACGCCCCCUAUUCCUUCCCUCUGUACUUCGGUUUGUGUCCGUUGCUACUUCUUUCCUUCUCUGCAAUUCUUUCUUUUACAGUCUUUUCUUUGGGGCUUUUUAAGGUACCGCUGCAACUGUAGGUGCGCAAGUUAAUGAAUUAUUGGUCGUGUUGUCUGCGUUGUUGUUGUUCCGUCCAUUGGUGCUGCGUUGCUGCCUCAAGUGGAGAUCAUAUGCCAACGACGUCGAGGAUCUAUACCCAACAAGUUUAUAAGCUUUGGCCAAUUGUGGGAAAGAAGGCAAACCACUAGGUGAGCUUUGUAUCACUUCAUUAUCAUCCUAAGUGGGAGUAGGGCUUUGUGAACUUGAAGCCUUGAAUGGCGGGCCUCAGUUGAGAAAGAUGCAACCUCACAAACUCGGAGCUCUCGGCCAGAUCGCGCCAUGACAUGCAAACACACUUGGUUUGCAGCUCACAAUCGGAUGGGGAGUUUUGAGAUGAUGUUGAUGAUCAUUUCUUGGGGCAGAUUAUUGAAGCGAUCUCGAUCCUGAUUGGUCUGUAUAUUUUGGAGAAUUUGCAAGACAUAAUUUGAGGGAAUAAUUGAGAUCCUGAUUGGUCCGCAUAUUUUGGAGAAUUCGCAAGAAAUAAUUUAAGGAAAUAAUUGAGGAGAGUUUGGGGAGAGAAGAGAAGAACGAGAUGAGGGUGAAGAGAAGAAGAUGCUUUGUGAUGAAAUUUUGUGAUAACAAUUGCCUAGUUCUACAACUAUAUAUAAUUGAUUAAUCCUAGAACUGGUGGACAAUAUUAAUCAAGAUAAUUUGUUAGGUUUCCUUGUACGAAUUGGUGUUAACAAAAAUUUCCUAGUUUUACCACAAAUGUAUAAUUGAUUAAUCCUAUUAUAACUACUAGUGUAUAACCCGUCGAAAUUUCGACGGGACUUUAAAUUAUGUAUAUUAUUUUUACAUAAUAUAAUUAUUUUUAAUUAAUUUAAUUUGAUGUAAUAAAAUUUACAUUAUAUUAAUCUCAAUUAUAUUCGUCAAUUAAAUCUUAGUUUUUUUGCUAAAAUAAUAAAAAUACUUGUUUAUAUAAUUUUUUUUAUACUUUUUCUAUUUUGACGCAUAAAAGUUAAUUUAAGAUCUCAUAUGUCAUAUAAGCAUCAUCUCAUCUCAACUCUGUAAGAUUAGAAGAUCAUCAAGAACUCGAAAGACAAUAUUUGACUUUUGAACGCUAAACUUUUAAGCAUUAUUUCGUCUGGAUCCUGAAACACUAUAUCUGACUUUUAUGCGUCAAUCGUUUGAACAUCAUCACUAUCUGAUGCUUUAAAUAUCAUAACUCACUUCUUAAACAUUAUUUCAUUAGGAGCUUGAAAGACCAGGACUGACUUGUGAGAUUAUACAAUUUGAAGCUUAUAAGAUCAUAACUAACUUUUAAACAUCAUCUUGUAUGGAGCUUGAAAAAACAUAACAGACUUAUGUGCAUCAUCUCAUUUGAUGCUUAAAAUACCAUAACAGCAUUUCAAGUAUCAUUUCGUUUGAAGUUUGAAAUAAUAAAACUGGCCAGUAAGCAUCAUCUUGUUUGAAGUUUGAAAGACCAUAACUAAGUUUUAAGAAUCAUCUCGUCGAAGGCUUAAAAAAUUGAUAUGAGAUUCAAAUUAAUUCAUGUCAAUUUAUAUGCGAAUAUUUAUUUAUCAUAACUAUUUUAUAUCCUACGUGGCACUCUCACAAUUUAUUAUUUGCUUCACCCUCAAUUCUAUACUAUAUGACAUUUUUACAUUUGUUUUCAUCAAUCCAACAUUGAGUUUAUACAAAACUUCAUCAAUUCAUAACCUAAAUAAAAGGCUCAAUUUCCAUGAAUACAUUAGCUCAUCUAUCUUUCCCACAUUGAUAUUCUUUUAAAUUUAAUCAAGGAAAAAUCUAGAUAAAAAAAAUACUUGUAAUAUGUAUUUCAAAUAAAUAGUUUUCAUUUUUUUUUUAUAAUUGCAAUAGCUUUUUGCAGUAAAUUUAUAUUAAACUUCAUAAUUAAAAGUCUAAAAAAAAAUUGUAAUUAGAUUUAAAUAUUUGCAAACCUCAAUAAAAAUAUAUAUGUUUUUAAAAUAAAUAGGUUCGUCAAUUGAAUGUUCAAUUUUUUGAUAAAAUAAUAAAAAUACCCUUUUAUAUAAAUUUUGUACGAUUUUUCUGUAUUGACGGAUAAAAGUUAAUUUAAGAUUCAUAUGUCAUAUAAGCAUCAUCUCAUCUCAACUCUAUAAAACCAGAGGAUCAUCAAGAACUCAAAAAAUAAUAUUUGACUUUUGAACGCCAAACUUUUAAGCAUUAUCUUGUCUGGAUCCUGAAACACUAAAUUUGACUUUUAUGCAUCAAAUAGUUUGAACAUCACUAUCUGAUACUUUAAAUAUCAUAACUCACUUCUAAAUAUUAUUUUCAUUAGGAGCUUGAAAGACCAUGAUUGACUCGUGAGGUUAUACAACCUGAAGCUUAUAAGAUUAUAACUAACUUCUAAACAUCAUCUUGUUUGGAGCUUGAAAAAACAUAAUAGGCUUAUGUGCAUCAUCUAAAAUACCAUAAUUGAGUUUCAAGCAUCAUUUCCGUUUGGAGUUUAAAAGAAUAUAACUGGCUAGUAAGUAUCAUCUUGUUUGAAGUUUGAAAGACCAUAACUAAGUUUCGAUAAUCAUCCCGUCUAAGGCUUAAAAAGAUUAAUACGAGAUUCAAAUUAUAUCAUAUAAAUUUAUUUAGUAUCUCAAUUGGUAAAUUUUCAUAAAAAAUCAAUGUGUAAUCCAACUUUUACAAAUAAAAAAAUUGUGCAAAAUAUCUUAUUUUAUGACAAAAUUUAAAUGAAGAAUUAUUUAUUUAAUCACAAGUAUUUAUUUUUAAAAAUAAAAUUAAAUAAUUUUUUAUUUAACCAAAUAAAAUUGAUCAAUCAUUCCACCAAUUAAAUGUGAAAAUUUGGUUUGAAGAGUAAGAACAUCCGUUUAUAUAGGUUUAAUUUUGGUGAAAUCACAUAAAAAAUCAAUAUGGGAUGAAAAUAUUUAGAUAAAUAAGAAUGAAUAAAUAUUAAAAUGCAAAAAUAUGAUGAUGCAAAAUAUAAAUUAAUAAUUGGUUGAUAAUUAGGAUAAACCAAAUAUUAAAAUCUUUGGAAAAUUAGGAUAAAUAAAAAUGCAAAAAUAUGAUGAUGCAACAUAGGAGUAUUCCUACUUUUUUAUUAUAUAUGUGAUGAUAUUAAAGAUAAUUUAUUUGAAAUUAUUUUUCAUGAUCAAAUUAAAUUGAAGAAUCUAUUUAUUUUAAAUGCAUCUCAUCAAAAGUAUCCUUUUAUUUAUGUCUUUUUCAUGAUGAAGUUCAAUUUAAGAUCAAUGCAAGAAUGAUAAAAUAUCAACGUGGAACGAUGAUAAGCUAAUAUAUGCAUGGAGAUUAAGCCUUUUUUUAGUGCAAAAAUAUAUAUGAAAUAAUUUAAUUUGAAAUAAAUGCCAUAUAUGAGAAUGUGUUAGAUCAACACAUUCUUACAAAACUUCAUCAAUUCUACACUUAUUAUGACCAUAAUGAUAUAUCUUAGUAUCAUUUUCUUUAUUUUNCUGAAGCUUAUAAGAUUAUAACUAACUUCUAAACAUAAUCUUGUUUGGAGCUUGAAAAAACAUAAUAGGCUUAUGUGCAUCAUCUAAAAUACCAUAAUUGAGUUUCAAGCAUCAUUCCGUUUGGAUUUAAAAGAAUAUAACUGGCUAGUAAGUAUCAUCUUGUUUGAAGUUUGAAAGGUCAUAACUAAAUUUCGAUAAUCAUCUCGUCUAAGGCUUAAAAAAAUUAAUACGAGAUUCAAAUUAUAUCAUAUAAAUUUAUUUAGUAUCUCAAUUGGUAAAUUUCCAUAAAAAAUCAACGUGUAAUCCAACUUUUACAAAUAAAAAAAAUGUGCAAAAUAUCUUAUUUUAUGACAAAAUUUAAAUGAAGAAUUGUUUAUUUAAUCACAAGUAUUUAUUUUUAAAAAUAAAAUUAAAUAAUUUUUUAUUUAACCAAAUAAAAUUGAUCAAUCAUUCCACCAAUUAAAUGUGAAAAUUUGGUUUGAAGAGUAAGAACAUCCUUUUAUAUAGGUUUAAUUUUGGUGAAAUCACAUAAAAAAAAUCAAUAUGGGAUGAAAAGAUUUAGAUAAAUAAGAAUGAAUAAAUAUUAAAAUGCAAAAAUAUGAUGAUGCAAAAUAUAAAUCGAUAAUUGGUUGAUAAUUAGGAUAAACCAAAUAUUAAAAUCUUUGGAAAAUUAGGAUAAAUAAAAAUGCAAAAAUAUGAUGAUGCAACAUAGGAGUAUUCCACUUUUUUUAUUAUAUAUGUGAUGAUAUUAAAGAUAAUUUAUUUGAAAUUAUUUUUUAUGAUCAAAUUAAAUUGAAGAAUCUAUUUAUUUUAAAUGCAUCUCAUCAAAAGUAUCCUUUUAUUUAUGCAAGAAUGAUAAAAUAUCAAUGCAAGAAUGAUAAAAUAUCAAUGUGGGAACGAUGAUAAGCUAAUAUAUGCAUGGAGAUUAAGCAUUUUUUUAGUGCAAAAAUAUAUAUGAAAUAAUUUAAUUUGAAAUAAAUGUCAUAUAUGAGAAUGUGUUAGAUCAACACAUUCUUACAAAACUUCAUCAAUUCUACACUUAUUAUGACCAUAAUGAUAUAUCUUAGUAUCAUUUUCUUUAUUUUAUAUGACGAAAUUAAAUUGAAUAACUUAUUUAUUUAAAAUACAUUUAAGUAUUAUUUUAUUUUAUAUGACCAAAUUCAAUGAAGAACCUAUUUAUUUUUAAAACAUCUAUUAUUUAUUUAGGUUUGCAAAUAUUGAAAUCUAAUUACAAUUUUUUUUAGAGUUUGAAUUAUGAUGUUUAAUAUAAAUUUAAUGUGAAAAACUAUUGCAACUAUAAGAAAUGUGAAAAACUAUUUAUUUGAAAUACAUAUUAUAAGUAUUUCUUUAUCUAGAUUUUCCCAUGUUUAAAUUUAAUAGAAUAUCAAUGUGGGAAAGCUAGAUGAGCAAAUGUACUCAUGGAGAUUGAGCCUUUUAUUUAGGUAAUGAAUUGAUGAAGUUUGGUAUAAAUUCAAUGUGGGAUAAAUGAAAAUAAAUGUAAAAAUGUCAUAUUGUGUAGAAUGAGAAUGAAGUAAAUACUACAUUGUGAGAGUGCCACAUAGGAGAGAGAGUGAUGGAAAAUGCUCCAAUAUGUAUCAUAUUAAAUAAUAGAUAGAUUAUACGUGCAUUACAAACAACUAGCUUAUUAGUGGAUUUAUAAUAAUUUAUUUGCUAUUCACAUUUUUCAUGAAAAAUAACAAGUUAAAGUAAGAAUUCUAUUAAAUAAAAUAAGAACGUAGAACCAUUUUUAGCCAUCCGUUCAGUAAGAUCUACGGUGAAAACAUCAUCUUGAUGAAUAAAUGCAGCACUAGAUUUGAAUUCUGAAAUGAAAGAAAUUUUUAUUUUUUCCGAGUGCAGUAAAUUUAGCGGCCUAUCUAAUGGAUAUCACCGCAUUACUAAAGUUGUAGGUGAGAUGAUGGAGUUGAAUUAACUUUGAGGGGGGUUCCAUGAACGAAAAAGCAGAAAUAUGAACGAUAGAGAAGAAGAGAUGAUAUCGAAAUCACUUAUUCUUAGACAUGGUCGAAGCGGUAAUUUAUUAGGAAGCAAGAUCGUAUAGCCGAUGGGCUAAACUCUUUGGGUGUGAUGUAGAAGUGAGAGUCGAUGAGUGUUCAACGGGAACAGGUAGCUAGGGCUAUAAACAAAUCAAGUCGCUCGCGAACUAUUCAGAGUUUGGCUUGAAAAAAACUCGUUCAAGUUCGUUUAAAGAAGCUCGUAAAAUAAACAAACCAAACUUGAGCUUAGUAGUAUUCGGCUCGUUAGCUCAUGAACAUGUUCGUCAAGUGAUUCAGCUUGAAAAAUAUAAAUUAUUAGUAGACAUAACUUAUAUUUAUCCACUAAAAUUAAUAAUAAUUGUUAAAUCUCUAAUUAAUUUUGUUUGUUAUAAUAAAAUAAUUAAUAUAUUUAUUAUUUUAAAUAAAAUAAUUUAUUUUUAAAAUAUAAUAAUCAAUAUUUUUGAAUAUAAAUAUAAAUUUAGAAAAUUCGUAUAGACUCCUCAAAGUAUUCGGUAAGUAAAGUUCGGGAUUGGAUUCGAUACUUAACAAAUCAAACUUGAGCACAUCACUAUUCGGCAGCUCGGUUCGAUUACACCCAGGGGCUCAUUCCGCACUUGGGGGCGACUCAUAGGCAACGGCAGAUUAAUCAUCAUCCCCCUCACUGCGCUGCACCGGCAAUUAUACGAGCUCAGUUGCCUCAGCUCUCCUCGGAGCACUCCUCAGGAACGAACCGGCGUAGGGUUGGGUCUUCGCAUACAUCAUGCAGCUCUUCAUCUCCACCUCCGACUCGCACUGCUCGGCCUUGAAGGCGGAGGCGCUGGCCACGGCCAAGAAGAGGAGAGUGAUAUCUAACAAGAUACUUGUUGUGUGGAUGAUGGUAGUGAGGAAGUGGGAAUGGAUAGCGCCGUAUUUAUAGAGGAUUUUAGCGAUUUGACUGCCUGCCAUUUUAUGCAUGUGUUAAUUUCUCUACGUAAUUCCUUCCAUGUGAUGAAUAUGUAAAACGGAUAAAGACAACUCCAUGCAUGUUGAUGAAAGAUAUAUAUGAACUAAUAUUUGAAAUACUAAUAAGUAGUCCGUCAAAAUUUGAUGGGGACUUAUUAUUAUAUAAAUAAAUUUAUAAAAUUAUUUAAUGUAAUUUUUAUUCAUUGAAUUCUAUUUCACUAAAAUAGAGUACUAAAUGAAAUUGUUUUAAAAUAAAUAUCGACCCACAAACUAAUAGUAAAAGAGAAACUGCAACUUUUAUUUAAAAAUACUAAAAUUAGACGUAAGCAUUUGUAACCAGUUACUAAAAAAAUUAAAAUAAAAUAAAUUAAAUAAUAGUAUCAAUAAUGACUUCAACUUUCAAAGUUUGAAUAAAUUAUUAAAUUUGGAAUUAAUUACCUCAUAAUCUAUCAAAAAUUUCAUCAUGCACCACGUGUUAAUUGUUGUGUCAUGCGUAUGACCACUCUCAUCACAUACUAAAAUCUUUAGACCUAUUUUUCUAGUGACUCUUGAGAUUGCCACGUACAGUUGUUCAUAUAUGACUAAAAACAGGUUUCGGUAGAUAUAAUCCUACAUUAUAAAAAGAUUAAUUUGUCCCUGACUCUUGUUUAUUGUCAUAGCAAAACAAACACUUCCACAAAAUUUUCUUCUCUGGAACUGAAUAGGAAAUUUAGUCUAAUCUGAUGGACUCAUAAUCAUUUUAGCUAUUGGAAACUUCUUGUCCGCAUUUUUUUCUGAAAUGAGUUUGCCUUCAAUUACUCGUUCCCCAAGUUGAGUUAUUAUCAGCCUAGUAGUAUUCCAAAGCUCAUUAGAUGAAUCUAUAUUUCUGAGAAUCAUGAUUAUGGAUCCUUGUUCCCUAUAGUUAAAAAAAAUCAUUUUUAUCUAAUAUACUGCCGUUUCAAGAUACUGUAGAGAAAAGUACAAAUACAAACGCUGUAAUACCCCGUUUCCUCGAGCUAAGUUUAGAAUAAUUUUGAAUUUAGAAUUAAGAUGAUUCACGCCGGAUUGAGGAAAAGAAUUUAUUUUAAUUCCAACAAAAAUGAUUUACAAAAGUAUUUGUAAAUUAGUUAUUAAAUUUAUAUGCAUUGCAUAUUUAUUUAAUUAACCAUUCAAGCAUUUAUCCGAGCUAUUUAUUUAGCAAAGCCUGACGAAUAUUACAGUCCUAAUAAUUUAAUCAGGAGAUAUUUUUCCUGAUAUUUUUUUUUCGCUCAACCUACUGCCGCCUCACUGUUCUCUCACUCCUUAAAUAUAUCUCCUCCGUUGCGCCCAAAUCAUUCUAUCUCAAUUCACUCACUUCAUCUCUCUCGUUCCAACACCCGGACUGAGCUUCAAACGCAGCAACCAUAGCUUGAUUCUCGAUUCACACAACAUCAAACUAGUUUCCCAACAUCUGCCAAGUUCAUCAAGCCAAGGUUUCAUCUAUGAACUCCAUUACCCUUUUAUUCAUACCAUGUUUAAAUAGAAUGAUAUUUCAAACAAGAAUCACACGCAUACAUGUGUAUCUGAGCUGUGCAUACUCUGUUUAUGUUUAUGCUUGCAUACUUGAUGUCUGUGUUAAAAGAAUAAGAAGAAAGGUAGAGUCUUGAGUUGGUUUUGGCUGUGUUGGGUCUGAGGUGCCGAGUCGGAGGGGUUGUUGCUGUUGGCGGCGACCUCGUCGUUUAUCGCCGGAGUGAGAGAGAAUCAGGGGUAGAGAAAGGGAGGGAGAUCGGUGGCUUUUGGGGAUCUAGGGCUCGGCGGAGGUGUGGCCUAGCGUUUCUGUCAGAUCUGGAGGAGAGGAGCGUACGGGUAGCGGCCGUGGCUUGCUGCGGUUGCCGAAAACAGAGGGAGGUGACGGCGCUUCGCCGUUGCCAAGGAGGUAAUCGGCGUGAGCUGUGCUGGUGGGAUGAGAAAGAGAGAGUCGGCGGGUGUUCAGAGGUUGGGGGUGAAGAGCAGAGUAGAGAGGUGUAGAGCAGAGUAGAGAGGGGCAGAGCAGAAUAGAGAGGUGAAGAGCAGAGCUGACUAGCAGAGCUUAAGAGCAGAGCUGACUAGCUAGCUGAAGAGCAUAGCCGACUAGCAGAGCUGAAAAGAUCAGAGCUGGAAUGACAGAGCUGAAAGAUCAGAGCUGAAUGCCAGAGCUAGAGAGCAGAGCUGGUUGAAGCAGAGCAGAGUAGAGUAGAGUAUAGUAGAGCAGAGCGGAGAAAGGGGGAGAGGCGGCAGUGGGCUGCCUUUGUUUUUAUAUUUUGGAUUUGUGCAUAUUUUAAGUAAACACUUUUUAUAUGCUUGAGUAUGAAAUGAGUCAUGCAUUGCAUCAUGAUUUAAUUGGUUAUUUAUAAUUCCAAUUGCAAAAGAAAGUCGAGUAAGAAUAUUGUUGGUGUUCUUAACUCAAGAGAAUUGUUUUCAAUUAUUUAUUCAUUAAAUUUUGAAAACCCGGCUAAGUGAAUCAUAGAAUGUUAAGCACUUUACCGUGACUUGAAUUUAGAUUUAAGAGACCUAUUAAGAAUAGAUUUCUUGUAGACUUUGAACGUCAGGAGGAUUAACACUACUAUUCCGAUUCAGAGAUAAGGUUAAACGACAAGCUUUGCCUAAACAGGUGGGCUUAUUUUCCAAAUGUAUGAUUGAGCUAAUGAGCUUAAAUGUUCGUGAAAUAUAAACUGUUUAUCCAAUAAAAUGUUUAUGUGCACUCUGCUCUGUUUAAGGCUCGCCACAACGAAUCAAUUGAGGUUCUCUUAUAGCCUAACACGUUAUUUGAGAAUUGUGUACACCGUUAGCUGACUCAGUGGGUUGAUCUCCAUCGGGCACUAACUAAGAGGCGUUAUAAGGGUGCUUGCUGGAUGUGUUCCGAAGCAUGUAAUGUAAGGGCCUGCCUGGGUAGCGUCCCGAGGUCAAAAGUAAACUUGUCUGGGUUACGCCCUCAGUUCAAGUAAAUGGGAGAAAUGGAUCUGUCGGUGGCUAAAAGGUCCGGGAUCAUAGCGAGUAACAGAAAUGAGUGUGACAACUGCGCGCAAAUUAAGUAUAUAUAUUAUAAUGAAAUGUUUUAACAUGCUUAGAAGUUCUUUCCUUUAAAAACCUUCUAAGUCAUGUCAAAUAUGAUUGGAUAAACUGCCCUUCAGAUUAUGAAAUGUUUCAAAAGUUGCAGCCCACUAAGUACAUUAGUACUUAGCCCAAAUAUCUUCAAAUUUUUUCAGGUUAAGGCUGGUGUGACGGGGCGAGCUGAGGCUAGGGUUCAACUCCGUGUUUUGACUUCGCUGUAACUAGAAUAUAUGUCUUUUUUUCCUAACUUAAGACUUUAUGUUGUGACUCUAAAACAAUAUUAUAUACUUGAGCGAGACUUAUUCGCAAGUAUUUCAUUCUAUAAAUGUUGGUUAUCUGAAGCAUGACACUAAACUUGUGAUCUUGAAGUUAUUAUGCUUGUUGAUUGAUUCGUAUCACUUGAAUACAUGUCUUUCUUCUUCAAAAGGGGCUAAGCCCGAUUGUUAUCCCUUUUAUUCGGAUUUCACAAAGUUUUUCCCUUGUUCAUUUUAAAUGAUGAGUCGUACCCCAGUUAUAGUUAUUGUUUCAAGAAUUGGGGUGUGACAAACGCACAUACACAACAAUUUGAAAAAUACGCACGUAGAUAAAAGAAAAAUUAACAACAUCCGCACAUACACUAUGUUUUGAAAAAAAAUGUAGAGAAAGGAAAAAAAGCUCAUACACUACGGAUGAGCAUAGACGAUUAUGAUUUUUGUGAAACCAUAGUACAUAAUCACGAAAAAUACGCACAUACACUACGGUUGUGGUAAAAAACUGUAAUUUACUGUAAUUUUCCAUAAAUAGGUCGCGCAUACAUUUUUAUAUCAUUAAUAUCUACAUUAGUAACUCGUGCCGAAAGGUUUCCUGCCUCUAUGGAAUAGAUAUUUGUUAUAUAAAAUAGUUGUGACUUCUACAUAAUUUCAAAAUAAAACCAAUCUCCAUCAGCAUGUAACACGAUUUCCUAUUUCUAUUAGUACAUUAGGCAUAUAUAUACAACAACUUAACAUCUUCUUAAAUGGGGAGAAAAGUUCUUGUUUGUAGCUUUGUCCAUCUAGCGCAACUUGUUAAGCAAAGUAAGGGCAUGUUUUUAACAUUUUAACUUCUUUAUAUGAAGGUGACGCUCCAAUAUGAGAAGGAUAAAGGUUGUCGGCAAAAUAGCUUGAUCGGGUCCAAAUGUGACUCAUUUACAUCGAAAUUAAUAAUAAAUGGCCCAAAUUUACAAGCCCAAAAAAAUGUGACCUAAUUUUGCAAAGUGCCCUAACUUAGUAGCCUACAAAAAUUUUAAACUCAUACUUGUUUGACUUAAAUAAAUAAAAUAGUUAAAAGUACUUUAGAUUUGACAAUGCCCCUUCGAAUGACGAAAAGGCACAAAUGUUGUAAGUCAAUUCUACGUAAUAUCGGAUGAGAUUUUUUGUCCCACAAUUUAGCUAGUGUGUAUCAUCAUCCCUCACUCUUAAUUUCUCUAUUUAUAAUUAUUUAUUAUAAAAAUAAAAAUAUUAUUCUCUCCCACCUCACUUGACCUAAUUCUUUUUUGACACGAUUAUUAAAAAAAGUAAAAUUAUAUUGUAAGAUGUGGACCUCAUAUCUAUUGUAGUGAAAAUUUGUUACUCAAAAAGAAAAUAAGCCAAGUCGGAUGGGACGGCCCAAAAAAGAAAGUAGGCCAAAGGAAGUGGGACGAAGAGAAUAUUAAAUAAUGAACUCUAAUUAAUAUUUAUCACUAAAAAUUAAAAUUUAAAAAGUGAUAUAUCCUAACUUGAAUUAAUUAACCAAAAUAAUUCAUUAUUAAUUAAAAUAAAUAUAAAAAAUAAUUAUAAAUCCUAGUUGGAUUAGUGAACCCUUGAUAAUUAUCUUUUUAUUAUAUGAAAACAUAAUAAAUUAUCAUUGAAGAAAAAUUAAUUAAAAAUUAAUGGGCCCAUCACCUAUUCUCUCUCUCUAUACAUACUUUUACAAAUUUCAAUUUAUUUUUCUUUUUCCGUCAACUCACUUUAUCUACUAAUUAAUUACACAUUUUAUAAUAUCUAUACCCAAAAGUAAUUAGACAUUUGUAAUGGUGCGAAAUGAGUAAUAAAUUAAGAGUGGUUGACCCUUCCAUAGGGCCUGGGGCCCCUAAAUUUAGGGGGCCCAAAAUAAAAAUAUAAGCUCAUUAAUAUUAACCUUAUUAAAUGUUUUAUAUUGCUUCCCUAAUGUUUCUAUUGCAUAUAAUAUAUUGUUGACUAUAUUGGUUACUAUAGCAGAAAGAAGUUUUUUAAAGUAAAAUUGAUAAAAUUAUAUUUACGUUUUACUAUGUCUCAAUAAAUGUUAAAUGAAUUAGCGUUUUAUGCAUUGAACAUGAGGUAUUUGAAAAUUUUGAUCUUGAAGAAGUUAUUAAUGAUUUUGCUUCUCAAAAUAUAUGCUAGAAGAUCCAUUUUCUAGGAGGGCCAUUUUUUUUCCUCGCUCAAGGCCCUCGAAAUAUCAGCAUCGGCCUUAAGAGUGGGUCACAAUGGUACACACUAAAUUGCGAGAUAGAGGAUCUCAUCUGGCAUAAAAUAUGUUUAAAAGGCAAGUGAGACAAUUUGCAACUUUUAUACUUUAUCAAUAACCUACUACAACCUAAAUAUUUUUUCUUUUUCUAUAAUUUGUUGUCAUAUUUUUUAAUUAAAAAAUGCAAAUGGCAUUAUUGGAUUUGAUUGAAAAAAGGUGGAUAAAGGUUGCUCCGUAUACUUCUUCCACAACUGGUUACUAAGUUUCUCAUUAUUUUAUUAUUUUUUUGGUUUAACUUUGUUUGGUUAUGAAUAAAUAUAGCCUUAGUGUAGUUGGGAAGCCCAUGCUUUAAUAUACUCCCUCUGUCCCGCCCAAGAUGCUACAUAUUCCUUUUCAGGCCGUCCCAACGAAGAUGCUACAUUUCUAUAUUUGGCAAAAAUAAGGAAUUUUAAACGUUUAAUUAACACUAAUUAAUUAUUUCUUUAUUAUCUUCUCUCUCAUACUUUAUCACUUUAUUACCUUCUCUUUCUUACUUUAUCACUUUAUUACUUUCUCUCUCCUACUUUAUCAGUUUAUUAUUACAUACUUAAAACAUUAAUCUACAACUCCUUAAAUCCCGUGCCGAAAAGCAAAUGUAGCGUCUUUGCCGGGACGGAGGGAGUAUUAAAGGUCGGGGAGUUAAAUUUUUUUUUCUAACAAAUUUUAAUUCUUUUCGUAAUACUUAAAAUUAUGAUAUUCUUUACUUUUAUUUAUUUAAAGGAUUAAAUGCAUGUAAUAUCACGAACUUUGCCUGAAAUUCAUUUUCCCCAUGAUUUUAAAAAAAUUCAUUUUUAUAAUUUUUUUUGACAUUUGUUUAAUUUUCUCACGAUUUUUAUUUUUCCUUAAAUCAGAAUUAAUGUAACGCUGGUGUGACUCACUGGUACGCGCCAUACUUGUUCCAUCUGGUAGUUAAACGCAACAUUUGAUUAUUGGGUUAAGGUGCAGAUAGGCCCCUAUAGUAUAAGCCCUUAUAGCGUAUUGCUUCUCAUACUCAUUGUGUGUGCAAAUAGGCCCUCAAAGUCCGAAAAAUCGAUCAAUUAAACCCGUUUGACUAACCGCUGUUAGUCAAACGUUAGUAAUUUUUUUUAACCCCCAAUUUCUUUCUUCUUUCAAUUUUUACCCCAAAUUUUUACCCCCAAUUCCAAUUCAGCCACUGUCAAUAUCUCCCUCGGCCUCUCUUCUCUUUCGGUGGCGACGAGGCCGCCGGUCACCUCUCCCAUGAAAUUCGGCGCUACCGUCACAUCCGAGUUUACAUCGCGAUGGAAGAGGUCGCCGAAGGCGCGCUAGCAGACGGUGUUCAUGAUCUUUGCGACACCUCGAAGCACAGCGAUGCGGUUGUCGUGGAGGAAGCGGAGGCUGACGCCGGCAGGGAAGCUGAGGAGCUCGGACAAGAGCUUGACCCCGCCUCCAGCGAGAAAGUCGUCGCUCUCGACGCACCUGAUCCAGGCGGCGGCCUCAUCGGCUACGGCGUUGAUGAGGAGUGGCAGGAGGGAGGAGACGCGCUUGAUGGGUGGAUUCGGCGCACUCCUUCUCGAGCCACAUGAGGAAGGAGAGGACUUGGACCGACUCGGUCGGGUCGCGGCGGAGAGAGCGGGUGAGGAAGGCGUAGAGCUCCCUAUCGAUGGUGUGGAACUGCCGGAAGGGGCAGGUUUCCAGCGGGAAGAGGGAGUGACUUCUGCAAUUUCCGCCGUAAGGUGGCUUGCAGCGGAGAGGCAACGGUUGGGGUGCGAUGUGGUGUGCUGGAUUCUGCAAUUUUUGCCGGAAGAGAAGAGAGGCUAAGGAAGAUGUAGGAGUGACUAAAUUGGAAUUGGGGGUAGAAAUUGAAAGAAGAAAGAAAUUGGGGUUAAAAAAAAACAUUGACUAACGUUUGACUAACAUCGGUUAGUCAAACGGGUUUAAUUGAUCGAUUUUUCGGACUUUGGGGGCCUAUUUGCACACACAGUGAGUAUGAUGAGCAAUACACUAUAAGGGCCUAUACUACAAGGGCCUAUCUGCACCUUAACCCUAAAAAAAUAAAAAAAAUUACUAACUAACGUCAACUGACGGAGUUAGGUCAGAGAAAUGUGCGAAUUUUGGAAGUUUAGGGGGUAAGUUGCACACACAGUGAGUAAGAAGAGCAAAUCGCUAUAAGGGCUCACACUUCAGGGGCCUAUCUGCACCUUAACCCUUUUAUAUUUACUAGCAGAAAGAUAGUACAUUGUAAGUGUAAUUAAUAUUAUUUUAUUUGAUAAUUUAUUAUUUUAAAAAAUCUAUUAAUUCAUUAUUUUUAUUAGAUAAUAUAUUUAUUUGUAAACCUUAUUAAUAGCUAUAGAAAUAUAUCACAUAGAUUUAGUGUAAUAUCUAAUUAAUUAAUAUAUUCUUAUAAAUAUAUAAUAUGUAAAAUAAUUUUAAAAUAAAAUGUAAUAGGGGUAAAAUUGGCAAUUCACAAGUUGUGCCUUAAGAUGCCUUAGGCACUUUCUUAUAAAUAUAUAAUAUGUAAAAUAAUUUUAAAAUAAAAUAUAUAAUAGAGGUAAAAUACGCAAUCCACACGUUGUGUCUUAAGAUGUAUUAGGCUUUUUUUCUAUUAGUAUAUAGGUAUUUUUCUCAGUUAAGAAUUUGACCGAGAGAUAUCGAAUUAUCAAUUGGACAUUAUCGAUAUUAAAUUAUGUUACGGUUUAAUAUUAUGUUUAAGAUUUUUUUUUGGUUGUAUUGUAUUCAAGUUCUAUUUAUGUUUGUUGUAUUCUGUUUUUCCUGUUAUAAGUAGAUAUAUUUAAAAAAUUUACUGUAAGGUUGAAUAUUUUAUGAAUACGUGGUUUUUCCCAUUUUCUUCAUGUUUUUCUCGAAGGGUGAAUAGCCAUGAAACUUCGAACAUUAAAUGAUAGUUGUUGGAUCUUACAAUUUGACGAAAAAUUAUACUCCAUUUAGAUAUAUAUAUGCUUUCAAUUGGAUAUAUAUAUAUAUGGGCACCAUCUAACAGGACCAUCAAAUAUGAGAGCUUUUUCUGUUAUAAUCUUUAUUCGAAUUGAAUGUAAGUAUGUAGGUGUGGCGUGAAGUGUUUAGAAAUGUAUUUCACAAAUUUGACUAUGUGAUAUUUGGUCCAAACGAAAGAAAUACAACCAUAAAUACUCCCAUCAAAUAUGAAAGCGACAUGAUAUAAUCCUAAUCUACCAAACCUAGUGUUGAAUCAAUAUGUAAAAUCAAAGUAAAACAAUGACACAGAUUCUUUACGUGGUUCAGCCACGAAGGCCUACAUCCACGAACAAGGAGAUGAACACUUUCACUAUCAAGAAACGAAAGAGUACAGAGAAGAAGCUUCAAGCUUCAAUUUACAGCAGCUAUACUUAGCACCUCUCCAAAUCUUUCCUCUCAACUCAAUAUCGUAAAAGUAAACCAGAAGAAGAAAUUAUACACUGCAAACUUAGGAAUACAAUAAGAGAAUGCCUUUAUACAUCAAUCUGAUACUCUGCAAAUCCCCACGCAAAACGGCUGCUGCAUUAGUUAGCUGAAUAACUAACUGUUUUGCCCAUUUGCUAGAGAGUCCUUCAAUUUUAAUGAAUAUUGCAGAUUAACCCCUGAAGCUUAUAAAAGCAUAAACCUACACCUAGUUUAGGAACUGGCCACUAUAGUAUUGUUCUAAGAUAUAUCAACUACUAGCUAGCUCUUUAUAAUGAAGGUGGAAUGGAAGGCUCCAAUAUUUUACUUAAAAGGGAGAAUAUAAUAGUAAUGUGGUUCAACCUAUCCAGUAAGCAAUAAACCUCUGUGCUUUGCUGCUUUUGGCACCAUAUUCUAUUAACUUGAUUUAUUAAUUCAUACAAAAUAUAUAGUUAUUUGUUCAAAUUUAAUCUGAAAUAUACGAUGGUCCUGGCUUUUAGAAAAGGCGUUGCUAUUUUUGCAGCUUCUAUUGCCAUUUUCUUCUUCAUCGUUAUUUCUUCCGCAGAGAAAGGUGAUCUCUCUCUCUCUCUCUCUCUCUCUUUUAAAAGCACUCUUUUAUUUGCGGAAAUAAUUUGCUUGUCGUAAAAAGUAAUGUAAAUUUAAUAUAUUUAGCGCAUAUUUACUAUUCAUGUUUAGCUUAGAUAAAUAAAAAUUGUAUAAACUAAUCUAUCGUUUAAUGAGAUGGAUUGGAAAUUUAAAAUAUCUUAAAACGUGCCCAUGAUAAUUUCUACCGAGAUAACUUAUUUGGUUACUACAUGGCUCCAUCCCAUCAAAAUGUGAGUUGUAUUUUUUUUUUCCAGUUGUCCCAACGAAAUUGAGUCGUUUCUAUUUUGAGAAACAUCUUUAUAUAAAAAACAAAGUAAUUGUAAUUUAAUUCAAUUACAAUGGUGUAAUUGGAAUUGGAGUGAAAAAAUCAAGUUAAAAAAAACUGCCAAUGACUUCCUAAAAUGUCAAAACCGUGCAUUAUCUUUUAAAUUGUGUUUCUUUGUGUUUUUAAUACAAUUAAUUGUUUUUUUUUUGUUUCAAACAGUUAUACUUACUUCUCCAUUUACUUUUUAUUUUCCUUCAUUAUAUUAAACAUAUUUUAUUUUCUAUUUAUUUUAUAAUUUUAUUAUGAAUAUAAUAUACACAAUAUAUGCUUAUUAAAUAAAAGAUCAUAAAAAGAUUUUUAAUUUGAUAUAUAUUAUAUAAAAAAAUAAUUUAAAAUAAAUAAGUUGUUACCAUUUAAAGUUAAACCAUUGAAGAUGUAUUUUCUAACUUUCCUUUAAGUCUUUAACGUGUGUAAAUAUUUUUCAAAUUGUUUUUAACGUAUAUUUCUUCUAUCUUUUUAUGAAUUUGAUUUAAUUUCUUAUCUUUAUUUUCUUCUUUUUUCUCUACUUUUUUUCUUUAUGAAAAACGGUGGUGGAAUUUUAUAUCCUUUUUAAUAAGUUUUUAAUCUUAAUUACGUAAUUUUAUUUUAAUUAUAAGUGAUAAGUUAGUAAGGGUUAAUAUUGUUUUAUGUCCCGAACUUUUGGCGUUUUCCACAAAAUGUCUCGAACUUUCAUUUUCUCCUAAAAAAUCCUGAACUUUCAGUUUUUUCUAUAAAAUGUCCCGCUAUACAAAAUUCGAUGACGGAAAGAUGAUAAAAAAAACCCUGAAUUUUCACCGUUUUCAAACAAUGGUGGUUCUCAGUAUGGUUUUCCAACAAUAGUGGUCCCUAAAUAUUUCUUUCGGCGAGAUAUUCAUCUUUUUGUCAUCNUAGAUAAAAAAACCCUGAAUUUUCACCGUUUUCAAACAAUGGUGGUUCUCAGUAUGGUUUUCCAACAAUAGUGGUCCCUAAAAUAUUUCUUUCGGCGAGAUAAUUCAUCUUUUUGUCAUCAAAUUUUGUAUAGUGUGACAUUUUAUGGAAAAAAUUGAAAGUUAAGAGUUUUUUAAGAGAAAAUAAAAGUUCGGGACAUUUUAUGGAAAAUGCUGAAAGUUCGAGACAUAAAACACUAUGGAGUAGUAAUAAUAACGAACAAUUUUUUUGGGCAUUCUGUACAUUUUAGGCAUUUUUCAUUAAAAAACAAGCAUAAUAGUUAUAAUAACGAACAAUAUUAUCAUAGAUUAUAUAGUUUCAAUACAUCACAAUUUUUUUUGGGCAUUCCAUACAUUUUAGGCAUUUUUUAUUAAAAGACAAGCAUAAUAGUAAUACUAAUAAACAACAUUUUCAUAGAUUAUACUUCAUCCGUCCCAAUUCAAUAGGCCAUAUUUCCUUAUUUGGACGUCCCAAUUCAAUAGGUUACUUCUUAAAAUGGAAAGUCAACAUAUAAUAAAUAUCUCCAUAUAACUCAUUAUUUACACCAAAUGUCAUUAUACCUCACAUAUAAUUAUCUAUUCUUUAUUUAUCUCUUCUACUUUUUGGACAAAUAUAUCCUCAAAAAAAGUUAUUUUCUCUCACUUAUUUUAUUAUAAAUUAUUCAUUUCUUAACAUAUGUGCCCGACCCUUAUUACCUAUUGAAUUGUGACGGAUGGAGUAUAGUUUUAUGUAGAACGUAUGAAUUCGCUAUAUAAAUUUUAUGUAGAACGUAUGAAUUCGCUAUAUAAAAGUAUGAAUUGCGAAAAAUAAAUUUUUGUUAUCUUUGGGAUUCGAACUCAGGACCAUAAAUUCAUCCAACAGGAUGAUGAAUCAAUCGUAUAACGAAUUCAUACGUUCUACAUAAAAUUUAAGAGCUGCUCUCAAUCGUAUAGAAUUCAUACGAUUCUACGUUCUUAUUACCUAUUUCUUACCUAUUAAAUUUCUUAUUUUAAGAGCUGCUCUCAAUCGUAUAGCGAAUUCAUACGUUCUACAUUUUUUCCUAAUUCUUAUUUCUUAUUUUAAGAGCUGCUCUCAAUGUAGCCCUUCCAUAUAUAUAUNNNNNNNNNNNNNNNNNNNNNNNNNNNNNNNNNNNNNNNNNNNNNNNNNNNNNNNNNNNNNNNNNNNNNNUGAGAGGGGGCUCUAGUCCCCCUGGCUCCGCCCUUGUUUGGGAGUGUCAAUGAGAGAGACGAGAUAGAGGGAGACACCAGAAGGAGCAGAGAGGCGAGGGGUGAGAGAGAUAAGAAAGGGCGACGCGACCGGCCUCGACGAAAGAGGACCACGACAGCGGCGCUUGCUGAGAAAGAAAUGGGCAACUGAUGCUAUGUUGAAUUUCAACGAGAGAGAGAGAAUUGAGGGAUGAGAAACCAAUGUUUGAAUAAAGAGUAAUUAGAUCUAGCUCGAAAAUGAUGUGUUUUGCAAAUAAUCCAAGAAACUUAAAAUCAAGAAUUGUUUAAGAUAAGCAAAAUUAAUAAUGUAAAAAAAAGAAUUAAUUUAAUUAAUAAAUCAAAAUGAAAAAAAAAUGUGAUUAACUAAUUAAAAUUUUGAACUUAAAUUUAAUUUAAAAUAAUUAAUUAUUUAGAUAUCCACUUAACCAUAAAUCUACAAACAUACUUAAACAACUAAACAUUAACUCGUUAAAUCUCGUGUCCAAAAAUGCCUCAUUUUCAGCGGGACAGAGAGAGUAUUUAAUUAAAAAGGAGAUUAGAGAAAUAUUGAAAAGUGAAAAUAAAAAUAUUCAAUUAUGGACAUGUUUAGUUUAAAUCAUGAUAAGACAUUAUUAAUAAUAAUUUAACUUAAUCAAAUAUUUAAUUUGUAUGAUUAUAGUCGAAUUGUACUAUAAUCAAUUAUAAAUACUUCAAUGAUUAUUACUUUUGCUAAUAAAUUUUUUUAUUUUAUCAGCUCCGUACGAGUCUUUCGCAAAGAACGCAACGUUAGCUCUGACAAGAGGGUAUUAUGACUACAUAAUCAUAGGUGGUGGGACCGCCGGUUGCCCGCUAUUGGCGACGCUCUCCGCUACCGCAAAGGUACUACUCCUCGAGAGAGGCAGUCUCCCAUACGACAACCCCAACGUCACCAACGCAGAAUAUUUUUUGAAAUCACUGCAAGACACAUCCUCGACCUCCGCCUCCCAGAUGUUCAUUUCCACGGACGGCGUUUUCAAUCACCGCGGCCGCGUAUUGGGCGGAAGCUCCGCCAUCAAUGGUGGAUUUUACACACAUGCCAGCCACGAGUAUGUGCAGAAGGGGUUUUGACUAUCCUAGGCUGAGUGCUUUCUGCGCACUAUCACUAGGAUGAUGACACUUGGAGCUUAUUUUUUCUAUUUUCAAGCCAUAUUAAUUUUGACCUUCUCAAAAAUCUUUAUUUACACAAUGGUCCCCUUACUUUGCCAAAAAGGGCACAGAAAACCCUACUUAAACUAUGGAAAAAAUUUCUAUAAUCUGAAAAUCUAAUGCAUCCCCGCGCUUCGCCAAAAAUGGUAUCAGAGCGGGUUUUAAUUGAGGAAUUAUAUUAUAUUUAUUUUAUUUUAUAAUUUACCUUUGGGAUUAACCUGUGUGGAGGAGACUCCAUUAAAAUUUAUGGAUCCGGACGAGUGUCCGAGAUGUCUUGUAUACAGGAUAUCUUUCCAAAAUUUGGAAAGAGAAGCUAGACACCUAAUGGGUGUACUACGAUGGUGUUGGAGAGCACUUAUGCUCAACAUUACCGAGGACGAGGAAACGGUUCGUGAAAUCAUUACGGACUUUCGAGGGCAUCUCGAUGCCCUACUGGAGAAUGCCGUGGCCAAAGCGGCAAAUAGACAAGCAAGAGCCUAUCUCCAUCAAUUUCAUACUUGAUGGAACCAAAGAACAAGGCGGGAGUAGCUUAUCCAAGCUACCACAAGAUCGAACCGGACUCUUCCGAGAAUGUCAACCUGCGGGAGAUUCAAAAAAUGGUGGAAUAUUACGGCAACAAGCUGUAUGAGCUACCAAUGGAGAUGAGUAAAAUAUCACUCAAACAAGAGGAAAUACUAACCCUCUUGCGUGAUAUCCAGAAAAGAGUAGCAGAUAUCGAACGACGAAAACCAUUUCGGAAAAAUUCGAAAAAAUGGUCCAACGACCCGACGUAUCCACUCCACUCGAGCAGCACCCAAGGAGUUGACACCGGAGGACAUAAUUCGAAUCAUGAAAGGCAAAUGAAUAGCCUUGAUCGAAUCGGAUUAGAAGAUCUACAGGAGCUAGCAGAAUCUUUUGCUAACCUCAACAUGGUUGAUCUAAAGAUGAACCAAGGAGAUGAGGCGCCCAAAACUGAGCCUCAAGAAGGAGAGUCGUCAGACAAAUCAAAGAAGGGUGCGGCUCAAGAAAACGCGCAGUUCAACGAACCCGACGAGACGACCUCAGAUGCGGGAUACUCCUGUAGGAAAGGUACAUUAGAACCAAUCCAUCCAUAGGAUUGAUUCUUAACCUCGAUGAAGCCAGUUUCAAAGAUUGGGAAGGACUCAUCGAUGAAUGGGCUUCAGCAAUGAAGAUAGUGAUCGCCACGAUUGAUUAUGACAAAGAAGAAUUUGCCAAGAUCUUCGAAGCAAGUUUUGCAGGCAUGGCAAAACAAUACUGGGAUAAAAUCGACACCCAGGGAAAGAAUGAUUUGUUUAGCCAUACGUCAAUUUCUGACAUCCUUGAGUUGGCCGCUAAACAAAUUAAGAUCCAUUUCUUGGGAAUGGGUUUUUUCGAAGGAUCCGCAGAGGAGAAGCGCAAGAAAUAUCGACAGGCACUUUACAAUCUAAGAUUGGUGGUGCUAGAGCCAAAAGCUCUUGAUGAAUUUCUACGCCUGUACACCCUAUAUGUCCAUAUGGGGUUGGUUGAUGAUCAGACGGCCAAGGACCUCUUUUUCACAAAGUUUCCAAGUCCAUGGAGGGAGAUGCUCAUCAACGAGUACGUUUCACCAGGAGAAUAUCCACUUGAUAGUGCAUCAAGAAGGAUGUCAUAUGUUCACAAGAAGAUGUCCGAAUGGUGCCAGAAGGCAGCGGACCAAAGGAAUCUCAAGAGAUUGAGGAAACUCAAUAAGAAAUCUCCAUUGAUGUGCGACAACAUUGAUCUUCCAACAGAGAUUGGUGCUGAGUUGCUGUAUCAAAGGAGGAGCCGAAAGAAACAUAGGUACCAACCCUAUGAAAGAAAGUCUAGAAGAAGUUCUUGGAAGCCAAGAACUAUGUGGACCAGACAGAAGGCACGCUCCUACAAAUCAGGCCAAAGGAGCAGACCAUCAAGAAACCGAUUCUCAAACCAAAAGAGAAUCCCGGCGAGAAAAACUUUCAGGCGUACUCAGGCCAAAGCAAAUGAAAGCUUCAAAGAUUGCAACUGCUGGACAUGCGGUGCAAAGGGGCAUAUCUCUACCAAUUGUCCCGACAACGAGAAAAGAGGGAUAAAGAAAUUCGAAUCCACACAGGAUAUCGAAGAUGCUCUCUAUUACCAGAAAUUGAUACCCGUGUAUCAAUUUGAAGAUAUAUCCUCUGAUGAGAGCAUAUAUGAGCAAGAAGAAGUCUUUAGUUCUGAAGAUUCGGAGAUGACCGAUGGAUCAACCGGAGACGAGUCAGACUAAAGAAGAACACGAGGUCCACCACACCCAGAAGGAGGAUCAGAAUGGAUUUACCAGCCAUUUUCUGAUUCCACAAGAAGAAGUGGUGAAGAAGCUCGUGAAAAAACUCAAAAAGGAAACCGAAGAGGUACAAACAUACCAAGGGUUUUCCAAUGGAAGAUUGAAUCGAGUUUUACAUAGCUUGAUUCCAUCCAAAAGGAAGCAUCAUGUCUAUUUUGGCGUUACAAACCGAGAAAUGACGCUUCCAAUCGAGAUCACAAGUAAUCAGGUGGAAAUCCAGCUGGUUCCAGCCGAAGAUAUAAAGCAGGAUCUUAAGAAAAUGAAACCAGAAGUCGCAAGUACGAUGAAAUGGAUUCAUAUUGGAGCCAUCCAGUUGGUAAUCAAAUCUUCCCUUUUUCCAGGGACAGACCAACCAAUUGAUGUCGCACUUUGCGACAAGAGGAUCAAAGAUGCCAGAAAAUCAGUUCUUGGAGCUUUUUCAGGUAAUCUCUAUGCCAAGAAGAUUAUAACCGAGUUCUACCCACAAAUCGCUUAUAAUCUGCAAGAUUCAUCCUUCAGCCGAGCCCUGACUCUCUAUCAGGACUACAAAAAGAAGGAAUAUAUGACAGAUGGAAAUAGGCCAUACUCAUUGACUUAUCAAGUCUCGUAUGCCUUAUCAAAUUCCCAUCACACGGAAUUAUUUCUGGGAAAAGAAUUUAUUGAAAUUCCAGAAAUAUUCAAGGAGGUAGCCAAGGCAGCCCAUCCAAACCGAGUGGAAAUUCCCCAGAUCAGGGAAAUCGACAUCGAUGUGGGAGACAAACCAGUGCUUAGCCAUACCCAGAGUCUCAGAUUGGGAGCACCAAGGCUGUCAUUUCAGGGAAAUAGGCUAACUUCAGGGCCUAUAACAAGAAGUUUCUCUCAGUCAUACGAGAGAAGGGCAAUCCAGGAAACACCAGUUCCAGACAUGAGGGUCAAACUCAAAUGUCCCGAAGGAUGGAGACAGGUUUCCACAAGAUUUGAUACAACGAAAGGAGAAAAUAAGUUCCCUUGCAGUUCGUUGUAUUAUUUGGCAAAUCCAGGAGACAACCGAUACAUCGGAACUCUAGAGGUCGGAGGUUUUGAAAUACAGACCGAAUGCCAAGCCGGACAAGAAGCAGACGUCCUGAUCUUAGGACGAGAUUUCCUUGACAAAUAUAAACCAUGGUCAUGGAAAUCAGGAGGAAUGGAGAUUACAAUUGGACGUCAAAAAGUGAUGAUCCAAUGACCAGCCCAUUCUCGAUUUACAUCUCUGUAGGGAUGUUGUACGAGGAGUUCAAAGCAGAAUAUUUUGCUGCUUAUGUGGAUUCGGGAGCAGGAAUCUGUACAGCAAAACGAGGAGUCUUUCCAGCGGAAGUGGAAGAAGAUUUACCUCGAAUUGUAGGAAGGGAUUUCUCUAAAAAGAUUUUGCUUCUAUCAAAAGGAGUAAAACAGAUAGAAAUAUUGAUUGGAGGAGCAGGACAGACACCUUGGUACAAGGUUAAGACUCCACCAAUAUAUUUCCAUGAUACCGGAGCAGAUAUAUUAUUCGGAAAUAAUUUUCUGCAAAGCUUCAAGCGAUACAUACAAGACAAUGAAGCCAGGAGGCUGGUGUUCACAACCAAUUGUGAUCACAAGAUCAUUGUGCAGAGGCUCAAUGGAGCUUUUCAUCGCUCGAUGCCAAUCAAAUUUCGCAGCAAGCGUGGUGAUGAUGGCAGACUCCGGAGACCCCAAAUGAAGGAUCAAAGGAGAUUCGGAGAAGUUUUGCUUAAAUGCAGAACUGAGGGAUUCCCAGAUCUCUCCGAGGAAGAAAUUCAAAUCCUCAAAGUAUCCCUGAUAUCACACAAAGAUAUCAAGGAAGAAGAACAGGUGUCCAUUGCCGACGUCAAAAGGAGAAUCCAGAAGUGUUAUCACGAGGAUCCUUUGGCAUGGUGGGACAAGAACCAGCUCAGAGCAACCCUAAAAGUUAAAACUGGAAAGGAGCAUGAGUUUGUAAGAUUCAGACCUAUCCUGAUGAACCCUCAAGAUCAACAGGAUAUGAUGAGUAUAAUNNNNNNNNNNNNNNNNNNNNNNNNNNNNNGAAUGCCAAUAUUAUGAUUAUGAUAUUGUCAUCUUGAAAUCUGAUCAAAAUGUUCUUGCAGAUUUCCUUACAAGGGAUGGAGCUCCCUGAGGUGGAGGCCAUCGAAGCAAAACAGGCGCAGCUCUUUGAAAGUCUAGAGUUGCUACAACAGGAAUGGCAAAAGUGUGUUCUACACACCAAACAAGCAGGGAAGAUACAAGCAGCUGACGAAGCUCAAGUAUCUAACCAAAUUGAUGCAUGCUUCAUGAAGAUGUUCAAUCUUCAAGAAGUAAUCAACAAGCCGCUCUUGCGCGUUAUCCGAGAUAAUCGGAUUAAAGCAAUGCUUUCCGUACAGGGCGGAUUACCUGUAGCAGGGGAUUCAAGUACCCCUAGCCCAAGUCCUAAGGUGAUGGUUUCACAGCCGGACCCUCAAGGAGAAGAUGUUGUUAAGGGGUCACACCCUGAAUCAACAUGUCAACCCUCCACCUCUGGGGUUAAAGAGGGAAAGGUCAAUCUUAGGCCAAUGACGGGCCAAGUUAAGGUUGACACUGAUUUUAUUGAAAUUUCUCCUUCUUGGCAGAUGUAUCAAGACAGGUGGGAGAAACUUCUCACAAGAAAGGGCAUUAAUCCGGGAAAUUGUCGGAUUGAUGUUAGUGGAAAAUAUCCUCGGGUAUGGACGACUCCAGGAGCCAACCCGAACGACGUUAAAGAGUGGUAUGAGUUCGGGGCGUUAGUCUCAGUUUAUACCACCUCUCCAGCAUUCACCGAGAUCAAGGAUCUACCCAAAUGGAUCCAAAAAACGGUGUUUGAUGCAUGGGAAAACAACGAGUCCCUCAAACGGGGAGAUGUUCUGGAAUUGUACUUUUUCAGUGCAGCGCCAGAGCCAGUGGGAAAAGGAAUCCAUGAAGCUUUCCACUUUAUCAAGCUUCGGAGACCUGACACGGGAGCCCUGAACCGAAUCAAAGUUCCCGAUUUCCAGGCCGCAAUCGUCUCGACAUUCAAGGAGGACCAAAUCUCCACUAGACGAGCAUGGGGUCUAUGGGUCUGUCUGACAGAGAUGGACAAAAUGAAGUCCAGAUUCAAGUUCUACCAAAGUUCAGAUCUGGGAACGUUCCUGGUUAACACAAUGACAGGAACUACGACCCCUUUUGCCGAAAAAUCCUUCGAAAAUAAACGGCAAAUGUUGUGGGAAAACAAGAUAGCGGGGAGCAAGGAGACUCGUCGCAAAUUUUGCAACAUGGCUCAUCUGGGCCAUUGGAUUGAGAAAGUCUGCGAUCAAUGUUCAACGCAGAAGGAGCCGGAAUUCGGUAAAUGAUUCUUCCCAAAGCCUGACAGAAGGAGGUUCCGGUAUGAUGAACAUGAUGAGCGUCAGACUCCAAAGGGAAGAAGACCUCAGGCACCAAAAAAGUAAGGUGGCUGACAAAGCAAAGUGAAUCAUGUGAUUCACAGCAAGGAUCGCACCCACAAAAGAAACGACAAAAGUGGGUGGAAGACAUGACGGAUCAACUCACCAAAAGUUCCAGGACUCCAAGACAAAGCGUGAGUGGAGAGAAAAGCAGCCGGCCCUCACCAGCAUUAUCACAAAAGGAUAAAGGAAGGGUCCAGCUCCAUGUGAUGGCACUAACUAAUGUCGGCAAUCAUGGCCGACAAAGGAAGGUGGAUGUCACAUUCAAGAUAGCUGGCCACAAAGAAGGAAUCCAAGGCCAACUACCAAGCAAUGAUAGAGGGCUUCACACCUCUAUAUAAACACAAGCUCUGAAGUGAAGAGAUCAUCGAAAAUUUUUCACAACCUUACUCACACACACACUCUCUCUUCAGAAAACUAUCUUUGUAUUUUAAAUUUUGUUUUUCAAAGUUUUUUAUUCUAGUUUUAGUUUCUUUUUAUUUUAUGUAUACAAGUAUUAGCUACUAAUGAGUAGCUAAAACAGUUAGUCUCCUCCCUUAGGGAGAUUAUCAUGAAAUAAAAUAAGUAUUUUAUAAUUCCUCUUUUAACGCUCCUAUUUUAGCCCAAUUUCCGGUUUAGUAAAAAUAUUUUCUUCUAAAAUAAAAAAAAAAAAAUUAAAACGUCGAGACACAGUGAAGGAGGGAAACUGAUUCCUAAAGGUGACCAUUCGGCGAAAGCUGAAACACAGUGAAGGAAGAAGGUUGCAACCAUCUCUUGCGAGUGCGUGGUUGGACGAAGGCUGAGGUGGCAAGAAGUCCGUAAAACGCGACAAAAGCUCCGGAAGGUGACCAGUCGACGAAAGGUAUACUGUUGAUUUAUGUUUAGAAUUAUUUUGAAGUUGUACGGAAGCAUGUUGGGCCAUAUUUUGAUAAUUGCAUGAUUUCAUAAUUAUAGAAAAUAAUUUUGGGUUUUUCUGUUGUUAUAUGUGAAGGGCUGUUGAUGCUAUAAUUUGUUUAGAGGGGUCAAAUUGAUAUUUCUUGAUUUUGGAAAUUAAAGGAGCCACGUGUCAACAUCUUAGCAGUAGUGCUUUUAAGGCACUCGACUUAGGAUAUACAUAACCGCAGAAGGCGGGGUGGGACCCACAGCUUGUGAAGGAGUCGUAUGAGUGGGUGGAGAGAAAGGUGGCGUUCCGGCCGCGGCUACUGCCGUGGCAGGCGGCGGUGAAGGAUGGCCUGCUGGAAGCCGGCGUGUCGCCGGACAAUGGAUUCACGUACGAUCAUUUGCAAGGGAGCAAAAUUGGGGGUUCAAUCUUUGAUGAAAAUGGGGUUAGGCACUCUGCUGCUGAUCUAUUGGAGUAUGCCCAGCCCACCAAUAUUACUGUAUACCUGCUUGCACGGGUGCAUCAAAUUUUGUUUAGGACCCAACCAGGUCACAAUCUCUCUCACAUCUUCAAAUAUACAUUUUUUUGUUUGUUAAAAUCAAAUAGCACCUAUAAUUAUUUUUACGGUUUCAUUUAAAAGUACCCGACUUUCAACAUUUUUUCAAAAAAUAUAUACUCCCUCCGUACCAAUUCAAUAGGCCAUGUUUCCUUAUUUGGACGUCCUAAUUCAAUAGGUCACUUUCAAAAAUGGGAAGUCAACAUAUAACAAAUAUACUCACAUAAUCUACUCCCUCCGUCCCUGAAAUGGCUUCCUCUUUGGGGACGGCACGAAUUUUAAUAAAAAGUUCUAAAGUGUAUUGAUAGUGGAGAAAAAAUGAUAUAAUUAUUAUUGGAAGUUGUGAAAAAUGUUAUACUCCCUCCGUCCCAAUAAUCUUGUCCCACUUUCCUUUUUGGGUUGUCCCAAUAAUCUUGUCCCAUUUCCUUUUUAGGAAAGUUUUAAGAACUAAUUAAUUUCUAAUUAAACACUAUCCUAAUUAAUUCCCCCUCUAAACCCUAAUUUAUCUCUCUCUCUCCCUCCACACUCUCUCGCCUCCCCAUCUUCUCUACCCUUCGCCGCCCCCCCCACCUUCGCCGCCCUCCCCCCACCUUCCCCCUCUGUCUCCCCCUUCCCCCUCUGUUCCGCCGGCACUGGCGCCGGUGCCGGCGCCGCCUCCCCCCUUCCGCCUCCGCCCUCCCGCCUCCGCCCUUCCGCCUCCGCCCUCUUCGCCACACAGAGGCGAGGCGACGCCUCCGCCUCUCGCCUCACCGCCUCCGCCCUCCCGCCUCUUCACCUCUUCCUCGGUUUUUUUUCCUUCAGAAAUUAGUGCUCGCCUCCGCCGCCCUCUCACCUCUUCGCCUUCGUCCUCCCGCCUCUGUUCCGCCGUCGUCGCCGCCUCCCUCCUUCCCCCUCUGUAAAUUCGUCGAGCACAGAUCUAAGCCCUAAACUCCCUCUUCUCUUGCCUCGCCAUCAGCUUCUCUUCUCCGUCUCCACCUCUCUCUCCACCUCCGAGCCCCAAAUCCCCAAAUCCAAACGCCACCCCUUCGAUUCCGGUUAAUGAAGAUGAUGAACCAGCCGCCAUCGACGAAGCAGCAGCGACGGGCUGCCGUCUCCACCUCUCUCUCCGCCUCCGAACCCUAAAUCCCCAAAUCCAAAUGCCACCCCGUCGAUUCCGGCGAUUGUACAGCCAUAGGGCUGCCGCCGCGGUGCCUUCUCCCGGUUAGUGAAGACGAUGGAAAAUUUGUUAGAAGAAAUUUAGCUUUUAUGUUUAGAUAUUUGUUGAAGAAAUUUGGUUUUUCUGUUCUUGGCUUUUCCAGAUUUUGUUCUUUGUCAAUGAAGAUGAUGAAAAAUUUGUUCUUGGUUUUGUGUUCUUGGUUCACUGUUAGACGAAAAUGUGUUCUUGGUUUUUUGUUAUUGUGUUCUUGGUUCACUGUUCUGGAUGGAGAGAGGCGGCGAUGAGGCUGGGGGCUGUGCCGACGCCGGCCGGGGAAGGAGGCGGCGCAGGUGUGGUGGCUCCGCCUACUGUGCCGUCGCCGGGGAGAUGAGGAAGAAACCAGAAUAAUUUUAAGCUAUAUUUAAUUUCUUCUUAAACAUGUGGGACCUUACAAUUUACAACACUAACUCAACACUCCUUAAUCUCCGUGCCCAAAAGAAAGGGGACAAGAUUACCGGGACGGAGGGAGUACUAAUUAGUAUUGGGAAUGGUAAAAAGUGAAAAGUAAGAAUAAAUAAAGUAUUAUUAGUGGUGGGGUAGGUGUCCAAAAAUGGAAAGAAAGAAAUAGGAAGUUAUUUGGGGGACGUCCCAAAAUGGAAAAAGAGGAAGUUAUUUUAGGGACGGAGGGAGUAUUAUUUUCACCAAAUGUCAUUGUAAUUCAUAAAUAAUUAUCUUUUCUUUAUUUCUCUCUCCUAUUUUUUGGACACAUAUAGCCUCAACAAAAGUUACUUUCUAUCUCCUAUUUUAUUACUCCCUCCGUCCCACUCCAAUAGGCUCAUUUUUCUUUUUGGGUAAAAAAAUUGUACUUAAUUGGUGUGGACCAUACCACUUUCCUACUAAAAGGUAAGUUUUCUUAAUCUCCAUAUCCAAAAGAGUGAGCCUAUUGGAGUGGGACGGAUGAAGUAUAAAUUAUUUGUUUCUUAAUAUCUGUGUCCAAGGCUUGUGGCCAAUUGAAUCGAGACGGAAAGAGUACAAUUUAUUAUUUUAUUAAAAUUAAUAAAUUUUUAAAUUGUCCCAAAUUGUGAUAAAAAAAAUUAAUAUUUCAUAAAACUUAUUAUCUUAAAAAAGUUUUACUAGUUCCAGGGCAAAGACCCGAGGCAUAUGGAGUUGUGUUCAAAGACGCGGAAGGUGCAACACACGAGGCAUAUCUAAAUAGUGGGCCUACGAAUGAGAUAAUUGUAUCAGCUGGUGCAAUGGGCAGCCCACAGCUUUUAAAUUUUUAAUGCUGAGCGGUAUCGGGCCGGCCCAAAAACUACGGGCCUUGGGAAUAAGUGUAAUAUUGGACCAGCCAAUGGUGGGACAAGGCAUGUCUGAUAAUCCACGAAAUAAUUUAGUAGUACCUUUACCUAAGCCCAUAGACAUAUCCCUCAUUCAAGUAGUGGGCAUAAGCGAUAACGUCGGUAGCUACAUAGAAGCAUACAGUGGAUUCACAGAGGUCUAUUCCCUUCAACAAUAUGCAAAUGUGGCAAAUCAGGUCAGUAUAGCAUCAUACUAGAAAAAAAUAUAAAUUAUUUUUCCAUAUUUUGAUUUUUGACAUAUUAUAUAAAUUAUUAGAAUAACCACACUACUUUUCAAUUUAUAGCAAAAUAGUUAGUAUUAAAUUUGAAUUUUUACAACGAUUUGUAAGACGUGACUUAAAAAUUUUUCACGCCCAGUCAAAAUAUUUGGCAUAUGUGCUUGGUACAUAUCACUUACAGAACGACGACUGCUUAUCUUUACGAUGUUUUUGUGAAUGAGGUGUAGCAAGUAUGGAUGUACAAUAUUUUCUAUCAAUGUGAAUGAAUAUCACUUCAAGUUAUUAAAUAUUUAGAAUGGUUUUUGCCACGAAUCAAGAAGUGUUAUUAUUGCUAUGAUUUAUUAAAUGUGAAGGAAAUAGAAAUCGGGUGAAAUUAGUGAAUUACUUAGAACUGAACUAUGAAUACACACACAAAACAACACACACACACACAUGUGUAUAUAUAUAUAUAUAUAUAAUAUUAAAAUGAGAAGGUGAUACAACACGUAGAGCAUGGAGUCGUUGAUAAUUCCUAGCAACCAAAGCAUCAAUGGAUCCGAAGUGGGAGUCCUCCUUCAGAAGGUAAUGGGGCCUCUCUCAACUGGGUAUAUGGAGCUCCAAAGCAGAGACCCAGACGAGAAUCCCAAAGUGACAUUCAAUUACUUGAAGGAUCCUAGAGAUUUGCAGAGGUGCGUGGAAGGCAUGGGAAUGAUGAAAAAGGUGGUGGAGUCAGCAUCUGUGACUGAGUUUGGAAGGCACAAUACUUCAUUUGAAACACUAUUGAGGUUAAUGUUGUCACUUCCCAUCAACAUGAGGAAGAAGCAUCUCAACGCAACUCAUUCAUUACAACAGUUUUGUAUGGACACAGUCGUCACUAUAUGGCAUUAUCAUGGAGGCUGCCACGUGGACCGGGUCAUCGAUCGUGAUCAUAAGGUGAUUGGUGUGGAUGCCUUGCGCGUCGUUGAUGGCUCCACUUUUUAUAACUCUCCUGGAACUAAUCCUCAGGCCACCGUUAUGAUGCUUGGAAGGUAAUCCUCUUUCCAUCUCGUGUUACAUAAUUUUCUGUAUCCUACUCCUGCACCCUUAUUAAAUCCAUUUAAAUCUUAUAGUAUAUCAAAUAUAUAUAGAGAUAGAAAUGAUCCAGUGAAAAUGGCCAAAUAUGAUGAAAAAUUAGAAUGAAUCUGGAACGUAAGAUUUUCAAAUGUGUUAUAUAUGAUUGAUAUUAAUUUACUUGGAGGGACGAAAAUUUCACUUGCGUUCGAAUUCGAGAGGGGGCAAAAAAUUCACCACAUUAACUGAAUAUGGCUAUUUGUAUAUUACACGCAGUUUAUUUGAUGAAUUAUGAGCACAAAAAAUAGUUAUUUUCACUGGAACUCAACCACAUAUAUAUAAAUGAAUGGUAAAAAUUGAUGCGAUCAAACGUAAAUAAUUAAAAUUUGAUGUGAAAUAAUUGAUGCUUAAAAUUAUAAUAUUACCCUAUAUAUUUAUGAAAAAAAAAUAUGAAAAAAAUACUAAUAAAGAAUUAAUUAGGAAUUUGAAAAUUAAAUACUAAAGAAUAGUUACAAAUCCUUGGAUAUGCUGAAUCCUAUUUAAUUAAUAGAUGAAAAAAAUAAAUGAAAUUAGAGUAAAUGAAACUGGUGAAAUAUAAAUGAAUAAAACUAGCAAAUUAUUAAAACAUGGAAUAAAUUAAGGACAAAAUUGGUAAGGGGGUUGGGUUGAACAUAUUAAUGAGAAAAUGACGAGCUACUCUAUAAUGAACAAAAUUAAUGACAAAUUAUUAAAACAUCAAAAAGUGGACUAAAGGAUGAAAUUGGUAGGGUAGGGUAGCGUGGGGGGGGGGGGGAGGAGGGCAUAUUAAUGAGAAAAUGAGCUACUCUAGCCAAUUUCACACAGUAAAAAAAAUUAUUCAUGAAAAAGGGGGCAUAUUAAUGAGAAAAUGAGCUACUCUAGCCAAUUUCACACAGUAAAAAAAAAUUAUUCAUGAAAAAAAAAACUAAACAUAUUAGCUUUUUUGGUAUAAAUUUACCAACAUACCAUUAAUGAUUUUUUUUAAAUAACAAAAUCAUUCAAAAAAAUAAAUAAAUUCACGACUAUACACACUUUUAUGAAAAUUGUGUUUAACAAUGUAAUAGUCAUGAAAUUCGUGUAAUAUUGUAUUUACAAUGUUACACACUUUUUUUUUCCGCAAAAGUGUGUAAUUGUGAAAAAUGUGCGUACGUAACAAUAUAAAAUAUGUUGUCAUAUAUUUUUCGUGACUAUUACACAAUUUUGCAAAAUGGUGUAAAUCGAAAAAUAUGUAAGAACGUAUUUUUCACUAUUACACAAUACAAGAGUAUUUUAGUUACAAUAAUUAUUAUUUUCAUAAUUUUAUCUAUAUAAAUAAAAUUUCUUUUAUUAUAUAGAUAGUUUUGGCUAACUGCUAACAUAAGGUGUUGCUUCUAUCGUAAUACUCUAUACUAUUAUUCUAGCUAUUGUAUUGUUAUAUUCCAGCUUGUGAUGCAGGUAUAUGGGCUACAAAAUCCUACAGCAGAGACAUUCUGGAAAAGAGAAUAAUUGAUCAAAUACAUGUAUUUCGGAAUAUGUAAAAAGAAUAAGAACUACAAAUAAACAAUAAGCACAUAUACAAAAGAUGCAGAUAUAUAUGUGGAAUGCUUACGAUUAUUUUGUUUAUAACUCGAGAAUAUGAAUUAACAUAGUAUUUUAGAAAAUAGUCCGAACUUUAAUCUUACUGUGACUUUUUAGCUCAAUGUACUUAUCUUUAUUGUUCACUUAAUUUAUAGUUUGAGUUAGAUUUUUCGAUCAAAUUAGAUUGGUUAUCCGAUUGAGUUCUAUACACCUAGCACCUGACAAGCUCAUAUUUGAUCAUCCGACUUAAUUUUGGCUAUUUGAGUUCGAUAUAAUUGUAUUUCUAAUCUAGAGAGUGAGUGAAUCAAACACGAAGUCAACCUAAGACCUCCUGAUGUUUUAGGCAGAGACAAUUUAUAAGGCGAAUCCCACAAUAUCUUGUGAUGCGGCAGUACAAGUACAACCUUUUCAGAACGCCAGUGUACGUACAAUGUUGCAGAACGUUGACAACAAUGUAUUCUGAAUCAAACAAGAAUAUUUCAAAUGCUCUGAGUCCAUAUUUUUUAAGAUCUCUCUCUAAUGAAACUAUUCAAAAAUCGCGGCUAUAAAUACUCGAAGACUUAACUUGGAUUACUACUGAAAUUGCUGCGAUUAUUAUUUCUCAAGCAUUCAAGCUCAAAAUCCUAGCUAUCUUUCAAUGCAGCGCAAGUGGCAAGAACGCUUAAAACAUUCAAGAUCUAAGGAAUGAAUGGUUAAUAUUUAUAUACACCUCGAUUCAUUAGAAUCCCCUUAUAAUUUUCAACUUCUCAUUCACAGACAAAAUAUUUACCAAAAACCCAACACUUAACUUCCUAUUACUCUUUGUGAAAUUCUUUCUCCAAUAAAACACAUCUCCCAACAAUUUACUAAAAUACAUUCUUUUUCAAAACCAAACCACUUUUUGUGAUUGGAGAGAAUAUAUCAAAAUUUUAAAUUAUCAUAACUUGUUCAUUUUAAAUCCAUUUUUACAUAUCAUAUAUCAAACUAAACUAAAGGUAUUUUUAUGGUUGUUCAUCCAUGACUUAUGUUAAAUAUUUUAAUUAAAACAUAAACAAAUGAAAAUGGAAGAAUGUUCGAUAUGAGAAAAAAAUGAAGAAAUUUAAAAUAUAAGAUCAAUCAUGGUUAAUUGAGAGGCUAAUGUAAGGUUAAUUUGAUUUUUAUACAUAGAUUUUAAAUUUUGCAUACAUUAUGAAAGAGAAUCUUUAAUGUAAAUCAUAGCGCAAGUGGUGUGCAGGCUAAAUAUAUUAAAAAUAUAUUUAUUUUAAAAGUAAAUUAUUUUAUUUAAUAAAUAUAUUAAUUAUUUUCUUAUGACAAAUAAAAUUAAUUAGAGAUUUAAUACAAUUAUUAUUAAUUUUAGUGGAUAAAUAUAAGUUGUAUCUACUAAUAAUUUAUAAGUAUUUUUGAAGCUGACGAACAUGUUCACGAGCUAACGAGUCGAAUACUACUAAGCUCAAGUUUGGUUUGUUAUUUAUCGAGCUUCCCGAAACGAACUUGAACGAAUUUUUUUCGAGCCGAGCUCCGAAUAGUUUGCGAGCGACUUGGUUUGUUUACACUCCUAAGUGUGCGUGUACUUGGGGUAGAUUCUGUCAUAAAAAAGAAAGAAAGUGGCCUACAAAUUUAUUACACCGUGAAAUUACUCAAAUACUCUAAUAGAACACUUAUAAUUAGUGUCUUAUCAGAUAUUUAUAUUGAAAGUAAUCAAAUAUUGUAAUGGAACUCGAUUCAAAUAUAUUAUAUUAAUUAUUUAAAUCUUAAACACUUCUUCUUCUUCUUCUCGGUUAGGAAGUUGAGAGAGAUAUCAAAUUAUCGAUAUUAAUUAUGUUAAGGUCUGAUAUUUUAUUACUCCCUCCGUCCCACUGUAAGUGAGACCUUUUUUUGGGCACGGGAAUUAAGAAAGAUGUAUUUUGUGUGUAGAUGAAAAAGUGAAAAGGUGUUUAAAUGGAAAAACUUUUACCCAAAAAGGAAAGAGUCUCACUUACAGUGGGACGCACAAAAUAGAAAGAGUCUCAGAUACAGUGGGACGGAGGGAUCGGAGUAUUAUUAUUAUUAUUAUUAUUAUUAUUAUUAUUAUUAUUAUUAUUAUUAUUACUCCCUCUGUCCCAAUAUUGUUGGCCACAUUUCCUUUUUAGUUUGUCCCACUAUUGUUGGCCACUUUCCUAAAAGGGAAAUAUUUAUCACAUUCAAUCUCUUACUUUAUCACAUUAUCUCUCCUACUUUAUCACUUUAUUACAUUCUCUCUCCUACUUUAUCACAUUAAUGUGAUAAUAAUAAAAUCGUCACAAUUUAAUUAUAUUCAGUGGCAACAUCAUCCGUGACAAUAAAUAGAUUUGCAGUGACAAUAUUUUGUCGUCGUCACUGUAGCUUUUAGCGACGGUUGAUAUAGCCGCGACUUACCGACGACCACAAAAGUUGUCACUGGGAUGCUUUAGUGACAAUUUUGACACAUAUAGUGACAAAAAUUGUCGCCACUAAACCAUUUUUUUUGUAGUGAUAGAUUAUUUUCUUUUUUGUCAUGCAAAAUAUCUUUUGAAUGAAAUAUCAUAAUGUAUAUUAAAUAGUAACAGUUUAUGAAAAUAGGUUUAAUUAGAUAUACAAUAUUUAUGAAUUGAAUUAGUUAUGAUAAUUUAAAUUUUCAACAUAUUAUUUGAAUGAAAUAUUUUUUAUUUUUAUUUUUCUUAUAUAUAUAUAUGUAUAUAUAUAUAUAUAUAUUAUUUGUAUUUGACUAUUAAUUAUAAUUUUGNGUAACUUAAACGUUACUACUACUAACGUAAAGUAGUAGUACUACUUAAACUUAAACCCCUUACCCCUAACUUAACUACUACUACUCUCUCCUCUCUCUCUCUCUCUCUCUCUCUCUCUCUACCAUCUCCCUCAUUCUCCCUCUCUAAAUUCGCUCCACCAUUUCCCCUCUGUUCCGCCGCCUUCGCCUCCCCCUUCCCCCUCUGUAAAUCUGCUCCCCCAUGAAUUAGGGCUCGUCGCCGCCUCCGCCUCUGCCUGCCUCUUGCCUCUCUUCUCACGCCGUCUCUCGCCGUCAGGUCGCCUCUUCUCUUCUCCACCAUUCAUGGUGCUUCGCCUCUCCUCCUCUGUUCCGCCGCCGUCGCCGCCUCCCUCUUGCCUUCGCCCUCCCGCCUCUUCGCCUCUCCCGGUUUUUUUUUUCCUUCAGAAAUUAGUGCUCACCACCACCGCCCUUCGCCUCUCCUCCUCUGCCAUGUCGGGAACCCGGUGCCCGUCGGGCGCGCGCGAGCCCAGCGGUACAGGGUGCCUCAAGUGCUUGCGAACCCGUCGGCGCAUGCGAUGCAUGUCGGGAACCCGAUGCCGUCGGGAACCCGGUGCCCGUCGGGCGCGCGUGAGCCCCGUCGGGUACAGGGUGCCUCAAGUGCUCGCGAGCUCCGUCGGGGGACGUGUGCCUACGAGGCGAGGAUCGUCGGGCACUCUGUGCCUACGGCGCACGAUAUUGCCCCUAGUUUCAUAAAACUUACAACAUAUGCUACUAUGAGGUUUUUUCUUCGAUGUAAGUGAUUAUCGAAGGGAAAUAUAUAUCAUCAAUACUCGCGAGCGUCGGGCUCGGCGCGUGCCGACACACGUCGAGGGUAAAUCGAGAACGUGUGAGGCCCUUCGAGAUGUGGCUCUAUGCCCAGUUGGUUGAAACAUAUUUGAUUUUUAACUACAAGAUUUUUUUCUCCGAUGCCGGUGUCUGACAAGGCGUAAUCUUUCAUCAAAAUCAAAACAUUCGGACGUCGGAUGCCGAUGAUUUUNUGUUUGUGGUUAGCAAAAAUUUGUUGAAGAAAUUGUUCUUGGGCUAAAGAUUUGAUUUUUAUUCUUGUUCUUUUGCUUAAUUUUGUUCACUGCUCCGAAUGGAGAGAGGCGGCGAUGAGGCAGGUGGCUGUGCCGACGCCGGGGAGGGAGGUGGCGCAGGUGUGGCUCCGCCGCCUACUGUUGCCGGGAGGAGGUGAAGAAGAAAGAAGAUAAACACAAAAAUAAUUAGUUGAUACUUACUUUUUCUAAAACAAGUGCGACCUUACAAUUUACAACACUAACUCAACACUCCUUAAUCUCCGUGCCCAAAAGAAAGGGGACAAGAUUACCGGGACGGAGGGAGUACUAUAUUACCCACACACUUAAAAUACUAAUCUACAACUCCUUAAUUCCCGUGCCGAAACCAAAUGUGGCCAACAAUAUUGGGACGGAGGGAGUAUUAUUUAAAAUUCAUGAUCUAUCUAUGUUUCUUGUUUUCCAUGUUUUUCCUACUAGGGUGUAUUCUAUUUUUUUUUUUUUGUAAAUUUAUCAUGGGAAAAUGAGGAAUAAUCAAAAUUUCACUCUUUAAAUCAUUCUUUUCUUUUCUCUCAUUUCCUACUUGACCCUUAUAUUUUCACUACAAAUAAGGGAUAAUAUUAUAUAUCCCUUUAAAAAUGGUGUGAUAAUAUUAUCCAUCAUUUAUAGUGAAAAUAAAGAAUGAGUAAGGGUCAAGUAGGAAAUAAGGGAAAAGAAAUUAUGAAGGAUUUAAAGGGUGAAAUUUUAUAUAUUCUUCAUUUUCUCAUGAUAAAUUUACAGCCAAUUAAAGAAAACGCAUCCUUAAAAUUAGAUAUAUUAAAUUAAAUAAAAUUAAUGUAUGGUUGAAUCAUUUAUGGAUACGUGGUUUUUCCCAUCUUCUCUCCACGUUUUUCGCAAAAUGUGAAUAGCCAUGAAGCUUUGAACAUUACAUGAUAAUUGUUGAUCCUACAAUUCGGCGCAAAAUUAUAUUUAGACAGUUUUAUGCUUUCAAUAAGCGCCAUCUAACAGCAGGACCAUCAAAUAUGAGAGCCUUUUUAUUAUAAUCUAGGGGUAAUGGCAUGUAAAUCCAUAAUGUUUAUACGGAAUUGAUUUUUGUUCAUAUUUUGAAAAAUGUGGCUCCUAAGGGCGUGUUUGCUGCUCCAUAUGGGAUUANNNNNNNNNNNNNNNNNNNNNNNNNNNNNNNNNNNNNNNNNNNNNNNNNNNNNNNNNNNNNNNNNNNNNNNNNNNNNNNNNNNNNNNNNNNNNNNNNNNNNNNNNNNNNNNNNNNNNNNNNNNNNNNNNNNNNNNNNNNNNNNNNNNNNNNNNNNNNNNNNNNNNNNNNNNNNNNNNNNNNNNNNNNNNNNNNNNNNNNNNNNNNNNNNNNNNNNNNNNNNNNNNNNNNNNNNNNNNNNNNNNNNNNNNNNNNNNNNNNNNNNNNNNNNNNNNNNNNNNNNNNNNNNNNNNNNNNNNNNNNNNNNNNNNNNNNNNNNNNNNNNNNNNNNNNNNNNNNNNNNNNNNNNNNNNNNNNNNNNNNNNNNNNNNNNNNNNNNNNNNNNNNNNNNNNNNNNNNNNNNNNNNNNNNNNNNNNNNNNNNNNNNNNNNNNNNNNNNNNNNNNNNNNNNNNNNNNNNNNNNNNNNNNNNNNNNNNNNNNNNNNNNNNNNNNNNNNNNNNNNNNNNNNNNNNNNNNNNNNNNNNNNNNNNNNNNNNNNNNNNNNNNNNNNNNNNNNNNNNNNNNNNNNNNNNNNNNNNNNNNNNNNNNNNNNNNNNNNNNNNNNNNNNNNNNNNNNNNNNNNNNNNNNNNNNNNNNNNNNNNNNNNNNNNNNNNNNNNNNNNNNNNNNNNNNNNNNNNNNNNNNNNNNNNNNNNNNNNNNNNNNNNNNNNNNNNNNNNNNNNNNNNNNNNNNNNNNNNNNNNNNNNNNNNNNNNNNNNNNNNNNNNNNNNNNNNNNNNNNNNNNNNNNNNNNNNNNNNNNNNNNNNNNNNNNNNNNNNNNNNNNNNNNNNNNNNNNNNNNNNNNNNNNNNNNNNNNNNNNNNNNNNNNNNNNNNNNNNNNNNNNNNNNNNNNNNNNNNNNNNNNNNNNNNNNNNNNNNNNNNNNNNNNNNNNNNNNNNNNNNNNNNNNNNNNNNNNNNNNNNNNNNNNNNNNNNNNNNNNNNNNNNNNNNNNNNNNNNNNNNNNNNNNNNNNNNNNNNNNNNNNNNNNNNNNNNNNNNNNNNNNNNNNNNNNNNNNNNNNNNNNNNNNNNNNNNNNNNNNNNNNNNNNNNNNNNNNNNNNNNNNNNNNNNNNNNNNNNNNNNNNNNNNNNNNNNNNNNNNNNNNNNNNNNNNNNNNNNNNNNNNNNNNNNNNNNNNNNNNNNNNNNNNNNNNNNNNNNNNNNNNNNNNNNNNNNNNNNNNNNNNNNNNNNNNNNNNNNNNNNNNNNNNNNNNNNNNNNNNNNNNNNNNNNNNNNNNNNNNNNNNNNNNNNNNNNNNNNNNNNNNNNGAUUUGUUCAGUAGUCUAUCGGUUGAAGNAAAGAAGGAUUACGUUCACUACCUCAUUGCGGAGAAGUUGAAGAAUGAUUGAUGGAAGUAUUUUGCCGCGAUGCCAUUGUCUUGUAGGUUUAAGUUGCUUUUAUGUUUGAAUUGAUCUACCCUAUUCGAAUAGUUGAACUUACAUUGGAAACUUAGGUUUAGUCAUUAUUGUUUAUGAUUAGUGACCAGUUUUUUAUGGGAAUUUUUACAUGAUAUUAUGCCAUAUGAUUUAUAGAUGCUUUAUAUGAUAUUGAUAUUUCUAUGAUGGGUAUUGUAUCGGGCAGUUGGCGUGCUGUUUCUAGUCACUUUGCUCUUGCUACAUUUCUAUUUUUUAUGAAAUUGAUAUUUCUGGAAUCGCAGAUCGUAUUUGGAAUAAUCUCAUUUCUAUUUUUUAGCUACAUUUCUGGUUUUAGAUUUUGAUAGUAGCCAUGAAUUGUUUUUGGAUUGAUUGAUAAAGAUUCUUGUUUUUGUACCCCAGAUCUUGUUGGUUUUAUUUUCUUUUUGUUGCCUUUCUGGCUUGGUUGAUCGGUAUAUGAAUUAGCAAUGAUGAUGAUGAUGAUUUGCAUUUCCUUCAUUCAAUUCACUGCCAGCUCCCAUUAAACUCUUAUUUUAUAUGGUAUAUAGAAAGAUAUGAUGCAAGUUUGUGCAUGGUGUUAGGAUUGAAAUCAAAUCAGUUUUUAUUAUGGGAAAAGCAUGCAAAUUAAAAGAACAAAUUGAAAGAAGAAUCCAUUAAAACGUGUAAAUUCGGAAAUAAGGCAAGAAAAUUAUGCCUCUAUCUCCACGGACUCUGGGACGACGCGCAUGAGCUGCCCUUCCUGCCCCGGUUCUGUUUUUCGGUAGGCGCAGGAAUGAUGAGCUCUAUCGACGGCCAGUCCGUGCAACUGUUUAUAUCCUUUGGAGUUUUGCCGUCAUCUUCAACAAACAAGCGUCUGACCGGUGGUGGCUUUCUCAUCACUAUUGGUGACGUUUCAUCAUCAUCAUCAGAUGAGUCGUCAACAAGUACUAAAGUUGGAGUUGCUUCUAUGGUGGACGGAGUGUCGGUAAUAAUAAUUAUAUUCGGCGAAGGGACUUUUUCAGACUUCAUUGAUCCACACCCGAACAAUCGAGCCAUCUCACGGAAAAGAGGCUCGUCCUCAUAAAAAUAUGAGCGCACGAAAGGAUCAUCCUUCAAAAUAAGAUAAAACACGUUAAUAAUGGAUUUUUUCUUGUUAUAAAAAAUACAACUAUUAAGUACCUUGAUCAUGGUUUCCCAGACAACUUCUGCCGCAUUUACUAUUUUCCUCCCAGUGUCCCAGGAAGUAUCAACACGCUUGUUGAUCUUAGUGAAACAAUUAAAUCGUUUUUCCAAAAAAUCGACACGCUGCUCGACAUCAACAAUACAUAUUGGUGGUCUGCUUCGUAGGUUGAUGGCAUGCAUCGCAGAAAGCUUAGCAUAGGGAGAUUGAUGCGGAGCAAUUGGGUGGCAUUCGGAUUUCAUUGAAAGCAGAUGAUUUAGGAGUUCACGAUCGCGAUCCUCGGACCAGAAACUAUUAUAGAAGUAGUAGGCUUGGUCCUUGAUAUUAUCGGAAGACAUGAUCGAAUGGCAAAGAAAAAAUAUUAGCAAACGAAAGACUUUGAUAUUAGAAGUUGGUGUAUGGUGUUUAUUUAUAGCCUAAGAAAUGGGUGUGAAUAACCAAAAGAUUUGGUUGGAAUAAGUCAUAACAAAAUCCAUGCGAAAAGUGUUAAUUUGUUAAUUUGUUAAUUUGUUAAUGGAAGAAUUCUAGUCAAAUGGUUGUGUUAUUAUAAUAUAUAUACUAUUAUUUGUUGCUCUAUUAUUAAAUAAUAUCAUAAUCACACGUGUAUGAAUGAUGGUUUAUUCAAAAAAGAUGGUAAUGAUGUAUUUAUUAUGCAUGUACUUUAUCAUAUAUUAUGUUGUAAUAUAAGAUAAAAAAAAUAUCAAGGGCUCAUCUAUUAGUAAAGAUGGCACUGGAACAUCAGUAUAGUCUGGUAGUUGGAGUUGAAGGUGUCAGAAAUUCUCGGAAAUGCGUGUAUUUCUCUGAAUUGAGUGUGCUGACAUUGAAAUCUUUCAACAAAUGAAGUUAGAAUGAAAAGCUGGGAUUUGUUAGCAAAGAAAGUCUUUAGAAGGCAGAAAUUAGGGUAACAGCAGUAUACAAUUCUUGUAUUUUGUUUUACUAGGAAAAAAGUUGAGUUAUUUGUAUAGAAAGAAGUGCUCAUUACAAAAAAUGUUGAGUUAUUUGUAUAGAAAGAAGUGCUCAUUACAUAUUUCCUUGAUGUGUUUGACUAUGCUAAAUAUUGAUAAUCUAGGUGAAUGAAAUCAAUAAUGACUUCACAGAAGAAUGAAGGUAACUAGAUUAUCUAAUAUUAUGGAUACUUACAUUUUCUGAUGCAGGCAUGGGACACUACUUCUAUCUCUCUCACAGCUGGUUGUGAUCUGUUCAUGCGGUAUGUGAUCUAUUUCACCAUAUAAUUGCAAAUUGUGCUACAAAUGAAGUACCAGAGUGUUUCGCAGUGAAAGUGGAAGACCAAAUGGAAGCAAAUGCAUGCACUGGGAAAACAGCAAGGCCGCUAUAUCUAAAUUGGCUUGCCAUGGAUAGCCAUCAAGGAACAUAAAAGGUUAGAUUAAAUUCUGAAACUAUCAGUAUAGCCGAUGCAAUCAGAUCUAAGUAUUAAGUGCCACACCUCUCCAUUAUCUGGAAUGCUAGGAUAAAACUGUUAAAGCUUUUGAGGAUAUAGGCAUGGCAGUGGGNUUUUUACAACAGAAGAAGUAGUAGUUUGUUAUGGGGAAAAGAAGCCAAAACGUAAACAAAUAGAGGUGGGUCGCAUGUUGACACUUUCAUCACUUCAUGGGGAUUUUUAUAAAAUUUGAAUCUAUUUAUCACUAACAAAGAGCCUCCACCAUCUCCUUUUGUCUCUCUCUCUCUCCCCACCACCACUGCUCUCAUCCACUCUCCUCCUACCAUUUUUGCAGACAAUUAUAAAAUCUAAUUUACCAUAAAAGUAGCAUUACUUUAUUGCAGUCAAUUACACAUAGUUAAUUUAACAUAAAUUACUAAUAUAGCCCAUACAUAAGAUUUAAAGCCAUGAAAACAAUAUUGGCUUUAAAAACAAUUUGAAAAAAGAGUCCAACCAGCACAAUCAUUACAAACAGAAAGUUGGCAAUUAGAUUUUGCACCAAUAACUGAUUUUGCAGGCACCUUAUAUAGAAUUUUCAAGCUAAGCCACAAUUAUAAAAGUUCAUCUCUUUGAGGCAUUUUAUCGAACAGUUUUCAGGCCUAAACUCCCAUGGCAAACAUAAAUCCCAAGCAAUCGUUGUGAUGACAAAUAUUGUGACUAAAGACAGAAAAGGAAGCCAGCGAGUUUGUGAAAUUGAGAACUCAUUGUAAAUGGAAAAUGUAAAUUUCAAUUCACAACAAUAAUUGAAAGGAGCAAAUUUGUGCAAGAAUAAUUGCAGCAAACACGUAGAACUACUCACAGAUGAACACAAACUCACAUACAAAUUACAAACAGAUUGAUAAUAAUGGAUUACAGCAUAUACCGUUCACAAAUUCCCGGAAAUAGUUCGGCAGAGGAUCGACCGGCAGAUUUUGCGGCGUCUUCUUCCUGUAAUAUAACACAACACAAUCUCGAAAAGCAUUUAGCAGCAAACACCAAACUGUCAAACAUUGCUAAACAAUCAAACAUAUCAGCAAUUACCAAAUUCUCAAACUUAAGCUUCUUAUUGAAAUUCUAAAUCGUUUCAGUGAGGAAGAAAGACAGCCGAAUGUGAAAUUGAGUUGAAAUUAACAAUGGAGUUUGUUAAUUUCAGUUCACAACAGCAAUUUAUGAAGCAAAUUUGUGCAAUAAAUAUUUAUAUACAUACAUCAACUACUCACAGACGAUUCUAAUGUCACCAACUCAAGCCCAAAUCAAAAACAUAUUGAAUAGGAAAAUGGAUUACAGCAUAUACCAUGUUCAAAUCCUAGAAUUCGUUUCGGACUUUUAUCAAACAGUUUAUUGGCGUGACAAAUAAUAUGUAAUCUCUAGAAUUCGUGAAAUCAAAAAAAUAUUCUAUGAGGAAAAUGAAUUAUAACAUAUACCGUGAAAUAUUCCCAGAAAUAGUUCGGCCUGUUCUUCUACGGCAGAAUUUUGCGGGGAAGAAGGUCUGUUCUUGCACGGCAGAUUUUACGGCGACUUCUUCCUGGGCGAUUUAUGUCAAGAAUGAUUGUGGAAGAGCGGGUGCCGAUGAUUUGUAUUUGCGUCUGAUAUUUUGUGAAAUUUGAGGGCAAAAAUGGGAAAUGAAAUCAAGAUAAAUAUGUGGUUACCGUAUCCGAGGGGGGGUGAGGGUUACAUAAUCAGUAGUAAUCCGUGUAUUAUGGACCGGGCCUUGCAUAAUCAAGGGCUGUACGUGUUACGCUAAAAGACCACCAUCCGCCAAUAAUAGACUGUAUUAUUAUGCUAAUACUGCAUAAACCAUAGCAGCAAACACGCCCUAAAUACAUAAUCUAAUUUAUUUUGUCUCGUUUUUCUUCUAUCACUAAUUUUUUCUUAAUUUGACGCUGAAAAUUACACGGUGGCAGUCGAAAUUGAUGCGUUGGCAGCCGGAAAUUGACACCUAGACACAUUUAGGACAUGUGAAAAAAAAUAAUAAAAAAAAUUCACAUCAUCAUCCUCCCCAAUUCCCCAACUUCCAAACCCUAACUUCCCCUUCCCCCACCCGUCGGCGCUGCCUGCCGCCACCACACGCCGGCGCCGGCCGCCCCUUUUCCCUCCCCAGACCCAUUUUCCCUCCCUCUCCUCGGACCUCGACUGCCCCUCCCCCAUCCCCAAACCCGUCUUCCCCUCUCCCAUCCCCAGAGCCCGGCGCUGGCCGCCCCCUUUAAACGGCGAAAUCGCUAGCUCGUAUUUCCGUCAAUCCCUCCUGAAAAAUCUGCACAAAUUCGCCCAUGAAUUAUUGCGGCGAUUGGGAUCGGAGUAGCCGUCGGAUUCUUCGCCCAUAGAUUCUUCUCCACAAUUUCACCCAUUUGGUGGUGGUGGUAGGAAAUGGCGGAGAUUUGGGGUUGGGGGAGGGGGGCGCCGGGAUCUGGGGAUGGGGGAGGGGGCGGCCGGCACCGGCGUGUGGUGGCGGCAGGCGGCGCCGGCGGGUGAGGGAAGGGGAAGUUAGGGUUUAGAUGUUGGGGAAUUGGAGAAGAUGAUGAUCGAUGUGGAUUGUUUUUUUUUUAUUUUUUUUUUCACAUGUCCUAAAUGUGUCUAGGUGUCAAUUUUCGGCCGCCAACGCAUCAAUUUACGGCUGCCACCGUGUAAUUUCCAGCGCCGGAUUAAGAAAAAAUUGGUGACAGGAGAAAAACGAGAUAAAAUAAAAGGUUAUGUUUUUAAGGACUACAUUUUUUCAAAAUAAAAACAAAAACUAAUUCCGUGUAAACGUUAUGAAUUUACAGGCAAUUACCCCUAUAAUUUAUAUGCAAAUUGAAUGUAAGUAUCUAAUGUGGCGUGAAGUGUUCAGAAAUAUAUUUCACAAAUUUGAGUAUGUGAUAUGUGGUCCAAACCAAGCAAAUACAACCAUAUUAAUGCUCCUGUCGAUCAAAUUUGAAAGCGACAUGAUAUAAUCCUAACGUACCAAAUUAACCUAAUUUAGGCACUUCAACUAUAGUAUUGGCUAAGAUAUACAACAACUAGCUCUUUAUUAUGGAGGUGAUGUGGUUCUAUCCAUCCACUACGAAAUAAAUCGGUGUUGCCUAAACCACUCCGCCUCCACAUGCGCAAGGAUGAAACUUUUCUGUCACCGAGGGAUAGGAGACUAGAUGUAAGCGUUUAAGUUUAAUCAAAUAUUAGUAAUUCAUAGUGAAAUGUAUUUAUUUUAAUACAAUUUUCAAUUGUUAUGUCUCAAUUAGGGGAGAUUCGUCGCAUUGCUGUUGAGACUGGGCGAGAGGACCGCUGCCUGAGAUCUACUUGGAGGUCGUACGGCCCGACAGGUCCGGCUCUAGGCACUGGAAGUGCCGUAGACAGGUUAGUAGGGGGUCCUCAAAGCACACACUUCCAUGAUGUCUCAGCAGCUGUAUGAGACACGGAUCUCCACGCUGGAAGAGCGCCUUCAGGCCGAACAAGCAGCAGUGAGGCCGAAGAGAGGCUUCUCGAGCAGAGUGAGGCCCUCGAGCAGCGUAUGGCUCAAUUCGAGGAUUCAUGAGGCGGUCGGGUCAGCUACCUUGAGCAGCACUUCAUGUUUUGGAACUAUUAAUUUAUGUUUUGGACUAUUUAAUUCAUGUUUUGGAACUAUUUGUUUGAACUAUGUUUAGGAACAAAAUUACACUUGCACUUUCUUUUUACAUUUAUGUUAUGUUGAGCAACUAUUAAUUUCAUGUUUUCAAACAACAUUACAUUACUUCGUAACAAAGUAAUAAAUUCAAAAUAAGACGAAUGGAAAUAAAUUCAAAUUACUUAUCUUAUAACAAAUUAUCUCCCUUGUUUUUUAUAAAAAUAAGGACGUAUGGAAUAAAUUCAAAAUACAAUUAUCAAAUAAAAUACUUAUGGUGUAUAAACUAGAUUGAUUAAAAAUAAUAAUAAUAAUAAUAAUAAUAAUAAUAAUAAUAAUAAUAAUAAUAAUAAUAAUAAUAAUAAUAAUAAUAAUAAUAAUAAUAAUUAUAAAUAAAUACUUUUGCGACAUAAAAAUAAAGACAAAAACGAGUUCGAUCCGUAAUUAACAGCAUCUCAUGGAUACCAUCUCGAUAUAUUAUAAGGUUAUGAAUAUAUGAUUUUGUAUAUUGAAUUAGACUUUAAAUGAAUUAAUAGGUACUAUAUAUAUCAAUAAUACGAGUGUUCUGUACUGGUGACAUUCGAAAGAACUUCAAAGUUAAGCGCUUGACUUAGAGCACAACUAAGAUGGGUGACGACUGGAAGUUCUCUAACUUAUGAAAUAAAUAAAUAAAUAAAAUUAAUUAAUUAAUUAAUUAAUUAAUUAAUUAAUUAAAUUUCAAAAAAAAAUUAACGGCGGCAUUUCCGCGGAAUGAAAUAGUCCGGCACACCCGCUGUGGUGAAGAUGCGGCAAAAACGCCGCCGAAAUACCGGCGGCAUUUGCCGGAUGUGCCGGCAGGUCCGUCCCACUAAUUAAUGGCGGACUACCGCCGGUAAUCGGCGGCGUGUGUUGCCGCCGGUAAUUGUGUUACCGCAACGAGAAAUUUACCGGCGGCGUCUCACUGCCGGUAGUUCAUUUUCCGGCGGCCGCCUCGCCAUUACCGACGGUAAACGCUGCCGGUAAUCCUAUGUUUUUAUGUAGUGAUAUAUCUGCAUCCCUUGGACAUCUGGAUGCAUCGUACAUCCGAACGUAUAGGAGAAUUUAUAUACUUUACUCUCUAAUCAAGUGGUCUCCACUUAAUUUACACCCUUAAUAUCUCAUUAUUUUUUCAUGUUUCGAUAAAAUGAGUCAAUUAUUAAUGGAAUUGAGAUAGUAUUAUUUGAGUAUUUUGAAAUAAAAAAAUAAUAGAAGAAACUAAAAAUCUCGAAAAGAAAGGUAAUAUAAUUGAAUUUGCACAAAUUUAAAAUCUUACAAUUACAAUUAAUUUACGUCCAUCAAGCGGUACUGUAAAAUCUAGGGUUUAAAUGUAUUGCUCCCACCUUCCGAAUAAAGAUAAAUAAAUUACCAUUUAUAAAUUAAUCAACAAUUUUACAGUUUACAAAAAUGAAAACAAAAAAAUGAAAUAAUAAAAAUGGUUCGGAAAGGUGCCUGAGUUGAAACCCGAUUUGGCAUUUGUAGUCCUAUGUGAAAAUGUGUGGACAGCUACGAGAAAUCCGGUACUUAUCAACUAACUCUUUUAAUGAGUGACUGAAAUCUUUAUAUGAAGCGUGUCCUUAUAUAAUUUAGUUCAACAAUAAUUUACUCUCAUUAUAUUCCUCAGAAAAAAGAGUUGCAAAAAUCUUUGUGCCAGAAAGAAUGUCAUGCCUCUUUAUACGCUGCUGAGAGUUUUCUUUUCUUUUGAUGCUCUACUUAUAAAGAAGAGUUGUUCACUGAUGUGUUUCUGUGUAAAAUAUUAUUCUCUAAGUUCAAGAAGCUGUUAGUUGAUCUUCAUUUCUUUCGCAUCUAUAGUUCUCGCACUGUCGCACAUAUCAUGGAUUCUGCAAACUGGGUUUCUCUUGGGAUUUUCUUCCUCGUCGUUUCUUCAUUUGCAGAGAAAGGUAUCUCGCUGUCCCUCUCAAAUACAUAUAUACAUGCACUGUGAUUCACAAAUUUAUUCUAACUUGCUGCUUACUUGAGCCGUCCUUUAUUAUUAAUGUCAUUCUGCAAUUAAUGGAAAUGAAACUGCUAUUAAUCCAUAUCUUUUAUUAUUAUUUCGGUGGUAGGGGAAUUGAACAUUCAGUAGAGGACAAUUGCCUCAAAAUCAAGGAAACAUAGCACGUAAUUUUAAAGUUUGUCCCAAAAUACAUUUUGUUUUUGAAUUUUCUCAUGAAUUCAGCCAUAUGUGAAAUAUCAAAAUUGUCUUUUGGAUUUUCGGUUUGUGAGGAGAAAAAAAAAAAAGAAAAAAAAAGAGGACGUAAAUUUUGUAACAAAUUAUAAAAUUUAUGAGCAAAACUAAUUAAAAUGCAGUAAAAUUUGUAAAUUUAUAAUUUACGUACAAAAACAAAAACAAUCCAAAUUAACUAAAUUUUAGGCAAUUUACCUUUUAAUUUCAUUUUUAUUAAUAGGUUGAUAAAUUAAAAAUUAAGUAUACUUCAUAAUAUUAAUAAAUUUUAUUUUUAUAAAAAUUACUAUUAAAAUAUACUUCAUUCGUCCCACUUAUCUUGACACUUUUACUUUGGACACGAAAAUUAAGAAUAAGUGGUUAAUAGUGUAAAGUGGGCGGGAACCACUUGUUUGAUGUGUGUAGAGAAAGUAAAGAUCAUAUACUCCCUCCGUCCAUCAAUUCAAGUCCUACUUUCCUUUUUGGUCCGUGCACCAAUUUAUGUCCUACCCAUUUUAGUAACUAUUUAUACAUUUUUUAAUUGGUGGGUCCCAAUAAAUAAUACUCCAUACUUUUUCUCCACUCAACUAAUAAACAAUACACUUUGUGGGUCCCUUUCUCCACUGAACUAAUAAACAAUACACUUUUUCUUAAAACCUGUGUUUCCUCCUUUAGGUCAUGAAUUAAUGAACGAAUGGAGUAUUAUUUUUGGAAUGUGUCAUUAUAAAUAAAAUAAAUUAAAAAAAAGUAUAUCAGAAUAAGUGGGACAUAAAGAGUAAUAAUUAGGAGGGAGUAUGACUGGAUGACACACAAGUAUAUUCAGCAAAGAGCGUGAAAGGAAUCCUUUCUUUUCCUAACCAAAGAGAAAAAAUGGAAAAGAACCUUAAAUGCAUUGAACUCUAAAACACAAAAAAGUUAGGCACCAAGCUGACUCAUUGUUUGCUAAUUAACUAGUUGUUGUUUGUAUUGCAUUAACUAGCUCCAUACCCGUCCUUCGUUAAAGAUGCGACCUCAGCUCCACCACUAGACUACUACGACUACAUUAUCAUCGGCGGCGGAACCGCCGGUUGCUCGCUGUCGGCGACGCUCUCCACCGGCGCAAAGGUGCUCCUCCUCGAGAGGGGAGGCCUCCCCUACGACAACCCCAACGUCACCCAGAUCACGGGCUUCAUCAAAUCACUAGCCGACACGUCGCCCACCUCCGCCGCCCAGCUGUUCGUCUCCACGGACGGCGUGUUCAACCACCGCGCCCGCGUGCUGGGCGGCGGCUCCGCCAUCAACGCAGGGUUCUACACGCGCGCCAGCGGCGACUACGUAAAUGAGGUCGGGUGGGACCCGCGGCUGGUGAACGAGUCGUACGAGUGGGUGGAGCGGAAGGUGGCGCACCGGCCGCAGAUACUGCAGUGGCAGGCGGCGGUGAGGGACGGCCUGCUCGACGCCGGCGUCACCCCCGACAACGGCGUCACGUACGAGCAUCUGCGUGGGACCAAAGUUGGGGGCUCCAUCUUUGAUGAGAAUGGGAUUCGGCACACCGCUGCCGAUUUAUUAGAGUAUGCUCAUCCUCCCUUCAUCACUGUUUAUUUGCACGCCACGGUCCACCGAAUCUUGUUCAGGACCGCACCAGGUCAGACUCUAAUAAGUCCUUAUCCUAUGCCUAUUGAAAAACGGAUUUAUUUCAUAAAAAUACAAAUAAUAUUUGGGUUGUUGCAGGGCGAAGGCCCAAGGCAAUUGGAGUUUUGUUCAAAGACUCAAACGGGCGUAACCACAGAGCAUACUUGAGCAGUGGAGGCGCGAGUGAGGUAAUUCUAUCAGCUGGCGCAAUGGGCAGCCCGCAGCUUCUGAUGUUGAGUGGCAUUGGGCCGGGCCCGGAGCUACGGGCCCGAGGGAUAAACGUAGUAAUGGAGCAAGCAUUUGUGGGGCAGGGGAUGUCUGAUAAUCCAAUGAAUGCCUUGCUCAUACCUUCCCUUCGGCCCGUCGAGAUCUCCCUCGUUCAAGUUGUCGGCAUUUCGAUGUAGGCAGCUACAUCGAAGCAGCCAGUGGAUUUGUCGAGCUCUCUUCGAUUUAUGACUUCGUUCAAGACUACACCAAUGUCGCAAACCAGGUCAGUCCAUUCAUUCAUGCUACCCCAAACUCUCUUACAUCUUGUGUCUCACUAUUUGCUCUCGAUCGUAUACUCUACUUUUCUUUAGUCAUAUCACAUUGUGCUAUGGAAAUACGGACAUCUCACACGAAUUGAACGAACAAGUGUUAAUUAGUGGAAUGCGCCGCCAUUUUUCUAAGGAAAUAAAAAUUCUCUAUCCCACAAAUUUGAUGCUUCACUUGUAUAUAUACCACUGCACCUUCAAUUUUUUAAGUGGGAAUCAAUUAAAGGAGUAUUAAAUAUGAUUUUGGUGUGCACAGACCGUAGAGCCCUUCAUAUUCCCCACGAAUCAAACCAUGCAAGAGAUCUUGCAAGGAUCGAAAGCAAAUCAAGGGCAGAACGGUAAAGUUGCGAUAGUGUUGCAGAAAAUAAUGGGGCCAUUGUCAAGCGGGUACAUGGAGCUGGAGAGCAGGGACCCGAAUUCGAACCCGAGAGUGACGUUCAACUACUUCGAGGACGCAAGGGACGUGGCGAGGUGCGUGGAAGGCAUGGAGAUCUUGAGGAAGGUGGUCCAAUCGCGGGCGGUGUCGGAGUUCCUCUACCCCUUCACCUCAUUCGAGUCCCUGCAGAGGUUCAUGCUGUCUGUGCCCAUCAACUUACGAGGGAAACACGCAGCCUCUACCUACUCCAUGGAGCAGUACUGCAGGGACACCGUCAUGACCCUGUGGCACUACCACGGGGGCUGCCAGGUUGGCCGCGUCGUUGACGGCGAUUACCGCGUCAUCGGGGUCGAUUCCUUGCGCGUCAUCGACGGCUCCACAUUUUAUUUCUCGCCGGGGACCAACCCUCAGGCCACAGUUAUGAUGCUUGGAAGGUUAAUUAUUAUUUCUCAUAUGUUGGGGUUGGGGAAAUUAAUAUUGUUUACUAACUUCUUGUCAUGCAUGCAGGUAUAUGGGACAGAUCAUUCUGGAAGACAGAAAUCCUCAAAAAGAAAAUUAGGUAUUAGAUGUUAGUUUGAUUUGAUUCUGCUCAAAAUGUAACGCGAGUUGUGGUGUUUUAAUUUUCCGAUAGUAUUUUGUUUUAAAUAAUUACUAGCGAUGUUUUGGAGUUAGUUUGCAAGGUUCCGCCCAAUUGAGUGAUUGAGUUGUGAGUUCCUUGGGUUUUUGUUAGAGUUCUUCCCCUUUCUUUCCUUUGUCUAGUAGAAAAAACAUGCAUUAAUUGUACGCAAUUUAAUUAAUCUAUAUAAACUAAUUACUUAAUUGAGUAAUUACCAUCUCACGUAAUUUGAAUAUUCAAUAAAGUUUUUGUAUCUCAAUAUAUAUAUAAGGUUGAGAUACAAUAACAAUGUUAUUUUUUGUGAGAAAUGAGUAUAACAAAUAAGCCAAUAUAAAUAUACCAAUAAAUUGUAAUGCACUAAUAAGCCAAUAUAAUUAAAUAUAACCCAAAACCCUUAGAAUUUAUUUUCUAGACUAGACUAUUUUCGAACUCAAGUGUUAGAGUUCAUUUUCUAGUUAGACUGAAGCGGCAAAGCUUGAAGACUAAAGACUGAUGAAGACCUGACUGAAGAAUCUCGAUUGAAGUACUGACCAACUGAAAGCUCACCUGAAGUUAUUGCAACAAUAAAUGAAGGACUUGUACUGGUGAAGAAGCAAUCUUUAGUCAAAACAUUCUCUGAAGACUUGUUUAAGGAUCAGAAGAAUACAGCGGACUGAAGCUACAAAAAGACGGACUGAAGAUGCAUUAAAGUACAUAUCACUUAGACGAAUAAAGACAAAGGAUAUCGUCUGGUACACGCCGCAUUAAAUGCAAAGGACAGUGCAUUAAAUGCUGAGAUAUAACAAAUCGUCCUUCACCGAGCAGAGUUACUUCAUUCGUGUUACAUUUCACUGUAACACCAUCUCCCCAUGCCUGAAGACCUUACCCAUUUCGGCGAAAAGGGAGAUAGAGGACGAAGACCCUGAGCACAGAUUAAAUCAAGUGUCAACGGCAGUAUUUGAAGAAGGACCUCCUCCAACGGAUCUAUUCAUCAUCCUCUGCCUAUAAAUAGAGCUCAAGGAACACCCUUCAACCUCACCAAUUCAAAGACUUAAAAAGAUGCUCUGCCAAAAUAUGGAGUCCAGCCACUACUUAACUAUCAAACUUGAAUCGAAGAAGAGAGUAAACCUUGUUGUAAAAAUCAAUUUACCUGAUUUAUGAACAUUCUCUUAGAAGUGUCUAGGCAAUCAUAUUCUUACAUCCUUAGCCUAAUCCUUGAUUACUCGAGAGCCUGUUCUAGUAAUCUUAGUUGGAAGAUUUUCAAACCCUUUUUCAAUCGAGAGAAAAGAGCGUUUGAGUGUUGGAGGUUUAGACAGUUGUCUAAACUCAAAAGUUCUCAGCCCCCGC
rnacentral:lncRNA from 1 species